UCACUUGUGACAAUUCUGGAAGUGUCGCGAAUUUCAGCCUUCCACAUUUUGGUCUGAGAGGUACGCUUCGUAGUUUCAACUUCUCAUCCUUCCCUAAUCUUCUCACUCUCAAUCUCUGGAACAAUUCACUCUAUGGAACUAUUCCAUCCCACAUUAGUAACCUGACCAAAAUCACCAAUUUAGUCUUGUGUGAUAAUCAUUUCACAGGAAAUAUUCCACAUGAGAUAGGAUUGUUAACAAGUCUUAACUUUUUAUAUCUUUGUGAAAAUAAUCUCACCGGUUUGAUCCCAGCCUCUAUUGGAACUCUAAAACACCUAUCCAUUCUCUAUCUACGGGGUAACAAACUCUCUGGCUUGAUACCUCCAGAGAUUGGAUCACUACAGUCUCUUAGUGACCUUGAAUUGUCGAGCAAUGAUUUAACUGGUAGUAUCCCUUCUUCUAUUGGAAAUCUGAGAAACUUAUCAAUUCUUUAUCUCUUUGAUAACAAACUCUCUGGUUCCAUCCCUUCUUCUCUUGGGAACAUGACUAAGCUCAUUCAUUUGGCUCUUUAUAAAAAUAAUCUCACCGGUUUGAUCCCAUCCUCUAUUGGAACUCUGAAACACCUAACCAUUCUCUAUCUAUGGGGUAACAAACUCUCUGGUUCCAUCCCUUCUUCUAUUGGGAACAUGACUAAGCUCAUUGACUUGCAGCUUAGUGAAAAUAAUCUCACCGGUUUGAUCCCAUUCUCUAUUGGAACUUUGAAACACCUAACCAUUCUCUAUCUAUGGGGUAACAAACUCUCUGGCUUGAUACCUCCAGAGAUUGGAUCACUACAGUCUCUUAGUGACCUUGAAUUGUCGAGCAAUGAUUUAACUGGUAGUAUCCCUUCUUCUAUUGGAAAUCUGAGAAACUUAUCAAUUCUUUAUCUCUUUGAUAACAAACUCUCUGGUUCCAUCCCUUCUUCUAUUGGGAACAUGACUAAGCUCAUUGACUUGCAGCUUAGUGAAAAUAAUCUCACCGGUUUGAUCCCAUUCUCUAUUGGAACUUUGAAACACCUAACCAUUCUCUAUCUAUGGGGUAACAAACUCUCUGGCUUGAUACCUCCAGAGAUUGGAUCACUACAGUCUCUUAGUGACCUUGAAUUGUCGAGCAAUGAUUUAACUGGUAGUAUCCCUUCUUCUAUUGGAAAUCUGAGAAACUUAUCAAUUCUUUAUCUCUUUGAUAACAAACUCUCUGGUUCCAUCCCUUCUUCAAUUGGGAACAUGACUAAGCUCAUUGACUUGCAGCUUAGUGAAAAUAAUCUCACCGGUUUGAUCCCAUCCUCUAUUGGAACUCUGAAACACCUAUCCAUUCUCAAUCUAUGGGGUAACAAACUAUCUGGCUCCAUCCCCUCUUCUAUAGGACAGCUCGAAUCCCUUGUUGAUUUGAGAUUGUUCUAUAAUAAUCUCAAUGGUUCUCUGCCCCCCGAGAUGAAUAAUCUCACACAUUUGAUGAGUUUGUAUUUGUCUUCAAACAAUUUCACUGGACAUUUACCACGAGACUUGUGCCUUGGUGGGUUGCUUGUAAAGUUUACAGCCCACUCCAAUCAUUUUUCUGGUCCAAUCCCAGAAAGCUUACGAAAUUGUACUAGUCUAUUUAGAGUUAGGCUUGAAUGGAACCAAUUGACGGGGAAUAUUUCUGAAGAUUUCGGCCUCUACCCAAACUUGAACUAUAUGGACCUAAGUCACAAUGAUUUGUAUGGUGAGCUUACGUGGAAAUGGGGAGGUUUUCACAACUUGACGAGCCUACAAUUGUCAAACAAUAAUAUCACAGGUGAGAUACCAUCAGAGCUUGGAAAGGCUACUGGGCUGCAAGUCAUUGAUCUCUCGUCAAAUCUCCUGAAGGGGACAAUUCCAAAAGAAUUGGGGCAGUUGAAGGCGUUGUUCAACCUUGCUCUUCAUAACAACCAUCUUUCUGGUGUCGUUCCCUUUGAAAUCCAAAUGCUAUCUCAACUUGAAUACCUUAAUUUAGCUUUUAAUAACCUUGGUGGAUCAAUCCCAAAACAACUGGGAGAGUGCUCAAAAUUAUCACAGUUGAACUUGAGUCAUAAUAAGUUCAUAGGGAGCAUCCCAUCUGAGAUAGGCUUCCUGCAUGUUCUUGGAAAUCUAGAUCUCAGUGGGAAUCUACUGGCAGGAGAGAUACCAUCAGAAAUUGGGCAAUUGAAACAAUUAGAAACUAUGAACCUCUCUCACAACAAACUUUCCGGUUUGAUUCCAACUGCUUUUGUAGAUUUGGUGAGCUUGACAAUUGUAGACAUCUCCUACAAUGAACUAGAGGGCCCUAUCCCCAAAAUCAAAGGCUUCAUUGAAGCUCCAUUUGAAGUUUUUAUGAAUAAUAGUGGUCUCUGUGGAAAUGCUAGUGGUCUAAAGCCUUGUACACUUUUUACAAGCAGGAGAAAAAGCAACAAAAUUGUCAUUUUGAUUCUUUUUCCUCUCCUGGGCAGUCUACUUCUACUACUUACCAUGGUUGGAUGUUUAUACUUUCGCCACCAAACAAGUAGAGAAAGAAACUCCUUUUUAGAAGAGCGACAAAGUCCACUCAGUUUUGCAGUAUGGGGCUACGAGGAGGAGAUCCUACAUGAAACUAUCAUCCAGGCCACUAAUAAUUUCAACUUCAAUAAUUAUAUAGGGAAAGGGGGAUACGGAAUUGUUUAUCGAGCCAUGUUGCCAACAGGUCAGGUCGUUGCCGUGAAGAAACUUCACCCAUCAAGAGAGGGCGAGCUUGUGGAUUUGAAAACUUUUAGAAAUGAGAUUCGCAUGUUAAUAGAUAUUCGGCAUCGGAAUAUUGUGAAGUUAUAUGGAUUUUGUUCAUUAAGAGAGCACUCUUUUUUAGUUUACGAGUUCAUAGAAAGGGGAAGUUUGAAGAUGAAUUUAUCUAGCGAAUAACAGGCUAUGGACUUGGAUUGGAAUAGAAGGCUUAAUGUUGUUAAAGGAGUGGCCAAUGCAUUAUCCUAUUUGCACCAUGAUUGCUCGCCUCCAAUCAUUCAUCGAGACAUUUCCAGCAGCAAUGUUCUUUUAGAUUUGGAAUACGAGGCUCGUGUUUCGGAUUUUGGGACAGCUCGGCUCUUGAUGCCUGACUCGACCAACUGGACGUCAUUUGCUGGCACCUUCGGAUACAUAGCUCCAGGUACAUACUUGAUUUCAUUCUUAACAUAUAUAUAUGAAUCAAUUGCUAAAGGAUGAAAACGGAGGGCUGCUUGUGGAUGCUCUUAAGGUUAUGUAUAAUAAAUUGUCAUAUUAGCAGUACGAAACAGCCAGGGCUAUGAAAAAAUGACCGAAUUUUUGCAGAGCUAGCUUACACAAUGAGAGUGAACGAGAAGUGCGAUGUCUACAGCUUUGGAGUGGUCACAAUGGAAGUGAUAAUGGGAAGGCAUCCGGGUGAUCUCAUCUCAUCUCUUUCUGCAUCAGCAUUUUCCUCCUCGUCGUGCUCACAAAUCAACUAGAAUGCAUUGUUGAAGGAUGUGAUAGACCAACGUAUCCCACUUCCUGAAAAUGGAGUUGCAGAAGGUGUGGUCAACAUUAUCAAAAUAACAUUGGCAUGCUUGCUUGCCAAUCCCCAGUCUAGGCCAACCAUGCGACAAGUAGCUUCGGAGCUCAUAGCUCGAUGCCCUCCGCUGGCAAAGUCAUUCUCCGCAAUAACAUUGGAAGAUCUGAUGCCUCAAACAACUGUGACAGGCUGAGAAUUUUCCAAAAGAUUUUCUAUAAUUAUGUAGCAUGUGAUUGUUUCUACUUAUGUUAGUUUCAAUUUUCGUAGCUUUGUUUGUAAUAAAUUAUUUCGCCGCUUUGUAUUUUGUUUCUUCAACGAUUAAUAUGUUUUAGUACAGUAUUAUUAUCAAUCAUAGUGAAGAAAGGCUCUCUGCUAUAAUGAGGACACCUGGAUUUCAAGAUUUUGUUUCAUCCCUUGUAAUAAAAGAAAUCUUCAAUUCAUUAUUGAGCUGAAAUGAAUAAACUAGCAUGAGAGGCUUUUAGAAUUGAUGCACAUACUAUGCAUCUGCACUUAAACUAUGAAUCCACACUGAUAAUACUACAAAAACUUAAACUAUCAACUACACAGAGUUCUUCACAGUGAACUCUUGAAGAAUCCUUCGUGCAGCCUGGAUUCUUUAAAGAAAAGAAAAAAGAUACAAACAUAAUUGAAUCAAGAAGUUUUUUAAGUUUUUGGUGAAUAAAUGAAUCAAUUAGUUGACACAAAAAAAAAGUGACAGAUUUGUAAAUUCCUCACAUCAACUACAUUAUCAUUUUCAUGGAUUUGUAAAUUCCUCACAUCAACUACAUUAUCAUUUUCAUGGGUUCUGUUCAUUUCCUUGUGGGUAGGGUUCUUUCCUGUAAUUAAAGUAAUAUAAUUUUGCAGGGGCGAGCAGGCCCAUGAGGCCCGCUUUUUUAUAUACUAAACUGCAGUUUAAGCCCAAACAAAUAUAAAAAACAAAUAUGCAUUUCAAAAAAUAUGCCAGAAACGCAGACAAACAUGUAUUCAAAUGGAUAUAUAGAAUUUGAUGGAAGAUAUUGUUUUUAAGAACAAUUUUUUAAAAAUAUAUAUAUUAAAAUAGUAUAUAUUUUUUAUUUUUUAAAAUUAUUUUUAUAUUAAUAUAUCAAAAUAAUUAAAAAAAAAUUUAAUUUAAAAUAAAUAAAAAAAACUCUAAUUUUUUAAAAAACAUAACUACUCACCACAAAAACAAGCAAAAUCCAAGUUGUAACACAGUUUUCAAGGUUUAUCAUUUGAACCAACAAAUCAAAACGGUUAGAAUCCAAUUUUCUUAAAGCAACUUUGUUUGCUUUUGAAAAUCUUUGACACAAAUCAAUGUUGAUAUUUUAAUAUUUUUAAAACAAAAACAGAAAUGAUAUCCAAAUUCACGUUUUUCAGUAAUUUGCCAGUACCAUUAUUCCUCUUUCCUUUGAAGCAUAACAUUCAGAAAAAUAAAAAAAUUACUUAAACGAAUUGAAAGAAUUCAAUGAAUGGGUACAACGUUCAAAAACACGAAGAAAAGGAAUGUCCAAUUUAAUAAAACCUUCCAUGCUGCAGUAACAUGCCUCUCUUCAGUCAAUGGUGCUCCCACAGCAAUACGUAAUAUGUACUUGCCUGAUAGAACCUGCAAAGAUUGGUCAAUAUAACCAACUUUUUUUUUCCUUCUUCUUUUUUAUAUGAACAGGCAUGAAUCAGAUUUUAUCCGAAAUAUUGUGGAAGAUAUGUUGGCUAAAUUGGGUCCUAAAUGUCUAUAUCGUCCUGAGCACCUUGUGGGUAUUGAUUCUCACGUUGAUAAUAUUAUUGCCCUACUAAGAAUUUUUACAGAUGAAAGUCGCAUUGUGGGCAUACAUGGAAUGGGCGGGAUAGGUAAGACAACUCUAGCAAAAGUUGUAUUUAAUCGGCUCUUCCGUGAAUUUGAGGGAAGUAGUUUUCUUUCUAACGUCAAUGAACAUUCAAAAGCCCUCAAUGGUUUGGUUCAGUUACAAAACCAGCUGCUUUGUGAUACUUUGAAAACAAAAAGUAUUGUUAAGAUCAAUAAUGUAGACAGGGGAAUGAUUUUAAUCACAGAAAGACUCUGUUACAAAAGAGUUCUUGUUGUUCUUGAUGAUGUGGAUAACGAGUAUCAAGUUAAAGCAUUAGUGGGAGAAAAUAGGUUUGGUCCUGGAAGUGUAAUAAUUGUUACAUCUAGAAAUGAGCAUUUGCUUACUCGAUUUGCAGUGCAUGUAAAAUAUGAGGCUAAACUGUUGACACAAGAUGAGUCCCUUCAGCUUUUCAGUUGGCAUGCCUUUAGGACGUUCCAUCCACCGGAUGAUUAUGCUGAGCUUUCCAAAGAUGCCUUAAAGUCAAAUACGAUUUCAAAUUCAAUUGAUAUAUAUUUUUUUGUCCCUCAAGUCCAUUAGGGCAUAACAUUGACUGGCUAUAGAUGUGAAAAUGAUAAACUUCCUGAUCCUCCGUUUCCAUGAAAGUUCUUCUACAUAAUAUAAUAUUCUAAUUUACAUUUUUAAUUUUCCUCGAAACUUCCUCCAUAUAAUAUAAUAUUCUAGUUUACUUGUGUAAUCUUCGCUAAUGUCUUCACAUGCCAGGCAAACUACGAGGCUAAACUGUUGACACAAGAUGAGUCCCUUCAGCUUUUCAGUUGGCAUGCCUUUAGGACGAUCCAUCCACCGGAUGAUUAUGCUGAGCUUUCCAAUGAUGUAUUAAAGUGUGCUGGUGGGCUUCCUUUAGCUCUUGAAGUUUUGGGUGCUUCUUUGUUCGGAGAAAAAAACAAAUCUGUAUGGAGAAGUGCUAUUGAAAAACUGCGAAAAACUCCAGAUCAUGAUGUCCAGGCAAAGCUCAAGAUAAGUUUUGACGCUGUUGGUUAUUUUUGCAAGUGCACAAAUCGUAACAAGUAAUAAAGUGAUGAGUAGAGUAUCGUCCCACGAGGAUUUGUAAAAAUUAAUACUAAUUACCAAAGUCUUUUAAAUUAUGAUCUAUUUGAAGAAUCGAAUGAGAUAGUUUAUGAAACAAAAAAUUAAUGAUUAAAAGGUAACAACUAUUUGAUUAAAUAUUAAUGAAUUCAAUUGUACUGGUUCUAGGAUUUCUGACUUACCGUAACUAUGCCUAUGUGAACUUUCUCAUUAAAUUAAUUACUCCUAAUGUUGAUAAUCAGGUUUUUCUAUGUAAAUAUUAAUCUCUCUCGAGCAUCAAUAAAUUAUUUCGACAAACAAAUUUCAUAUACUCUACGAAAGUUCUGAACUUGUCGAUUUAUUAAGUACUGUAAAACCUGUAACGAUUACAAAAGUUCUAGGAUAUCUCUAUCCUAUAGAUUUCUUAAGGUAUUUCAAACAAUAGCUAAAACAAUUAUUACUUCUCAGUUUCAAAUUGAAUUCUAAAUCAUGCAAAUGUUGGCCAAACACACGCAAGCAUUACACAUAGAAUGAAAUACUCAACAUCUUAAUGUAAUAAUUCAAUCGAAGAAAUUGUUCACAUAUCAUAGUAAGGUUACAUCAAAAAUCCCAGAAUAAAAGUCUACUCCAUAGUUAAAUUAAAGAGAAACAAACUUGAUACGAUGAACAUCACUCAAAAGCAGAGAAUUUCCGUCGAAAAGAUAGGUGUCCUCCCGGUUUUUAAUAGUUUUGCCUCUGCCUUUUUUUUUUCCCUUGGUGCCGCCUCCUCUCUUUUUUUUUUAUGUUGUAGGUUUUUCCGUCUUAAUCCCCCUUUUUCUUCUUUUAUAUUGUGGCUUUUCUACCCCUGCAGUAAUGAGGAAAGUUUCCUUUUCUGCAUUAAAUUCCUUCCUACUCAGACAUUGCGGGCCCGAUUUGAGGUAGAAAACGUGUGAAUUAAAGAUCUCUAUUUCUGGAGAAAUUGUAGAGAAUCAAAUUUCUUUCCAACAAAACUGAUCUUGCAAUUUUUGGACGUCUGCGUGUGAGAUAAGGGCCAUAAACCGAAACAGUCUUUGCAGUGCAGGAAUUUCGGGCUGGUUCAAUCCUUGUUUUUCAACUCGCUUUUUGGGCUUCGAAACAACAAAACUGAGUUAUAUGCCCUUCAUAUGUUUUGUAGACCUUCAUCUCAGCUAUUUGAAAAUGGUUACGAACAUCCGGAACUAAAUUGUAUAGCUUUUUUGCAGCACAUAAUGAAUCACUGUUCAGUUUCACUGCCCGGCUCUGCCUGUUCAGUAACCUAAGAUCUGAAAACACAUUAAUUUCCCACGAGGUCAAUAGUUCAAAAAGAGAUUCAAAAUUCUAAUUUCUUGUGCAACAUAUCCAAAAUAUUUAAAAAUCAAGCAUGAAUAGCGAAAAUAUACAUGCUAAAAAUUCCCUUAUCAAAUACCCCCAAACUUGAAUGUUUGCUUGUCCUCAAGCAAAAAGGAAACCAUGAAAGCAGAGUGCUAAAAGCUCAUGAUAAGUUCAACUUUCACAUUUAAAAGGCUCCAUCAUGCAGCAUUCACUUCUUGACUUAGCUCAUAGACAAUAUUAGAUAAUGAAAAAUAAGCAUUCUACUCUCUUCAGGUCGUUGUACAAACUUCCAACUCAUCCAUGUGUUUCAUGUGUUUAGCAUCCUUGAACCGUGCACAGUCAUUCCGUCAUUAUUUUUUUUUUUUUUUUUUUUUUUAAACAAGGUAGCCAACUUUAGGAGUAAUAACACACUUUUACUUGUCUUUUGACAAGGGUGAUUUUUUUAAAUUUAUCACUUGUCUUUUGACGCGAAUACAAACAUUUGUGAUGAAUGCACCCGGUUACUUAACAGGUCAUAAACUUAAAAUGCUUUGCAUACUCAUAUUUUAAGCUGCCGUUUGACGUAAAAGUAAACAUUUGUGAUGAAUACUCCUAGUUACUAAGCAACUCAAAACAUUGGAGUAGAUACACAUCAUAUACUUAUUCAUUCAAUUUCAUACUCAUUAUCACUCCUUGUUUUAUAUUUUUCUUAGAGGGUAAUAACAAGAAAGAACAACACACUUAUCUCUUAUGCAUAACUACACAAUUCACAUGAUGUGCUGGAAAAGUGUACUUCAAUAAUUCAAAAGAAAAUAGCAUGCUUAAUCCAACUUUAUAAGAUAUCAUCCGCUCUAAGCCAAGAAAUAUCAUGGUUACAUCAUGAAGCACCUAAAAAUGUCAAAGUUGGUCUUAAAUGCAUAUCACUUUUCACCCUCUGUUUUCAUGGUUCUAGUGUGCAGUGUCUUUCAUAGUCAAAGCAUGCAAUGUCUCCCCCAAACUUAAAUAUCACAUUGUCCUCAAUGGAAAAAUAAAGAAUAGAAAGGCUUACGAAUACUUCCUUUUGACUUGUGGGUGUGAGUUUGUUGUGCUCCUGGUUAUUUGCUUGUAUCAUCAAUUCCUGCACAACUCAAUUAAACACAUAAGGGUUUUUUUUUUUUUUUUUUUUGGGGUUGCCUCCCAAUCAACGCUUAGUUAUAGUCAUUAGCUUGACUUUUCCAUUUAUCUAAGAUGAAGUGAGAGGGAUAUCAUCCCUUUUCCCAAUAGACUCUCCAUUCCUAUAAUGCUUCAGACGCUGCCCAUUCACUGUGAAUGUUCCCUUUUCAUCAUGGGUGACCUCAACUGCUCCAUAAGGAAAUACCUUCACAACUGUAAAUGGUCCUGACCAUCGUGAUUUAAGCUUACCAGGAAACAAGCGGAGCCGUGAAUUGAAGAGUAAUACCUGUUGACCAGGGACAAACUCCUUGCGUACAAUGUGUUUGUCAUGCCAUGCCUUGGUUCUUUCCUUGUAUAUCUUGGCAUUUUCAUAGGACUUGUUGUAACCCAUUUUUAGGUCCCCAUGAAAAAUAAAAUAAAUAGCCAAAAGAGUUUAGAAAAAAUAACGGAAGGCAGAAGCGCUCAGGAAACAGUCAGAAAAUUAGUCAAGGAAUUUAAAAAUACAAGGAUUAAAUUUUUGACAGUAUAUUCUUGAAGGAUGAGAGCCCUAUUGAGAAGGAAAAUUUGAAUUUUGAGGAGAAAAGCCCAAAUUUGGAUGUUUAUGGACUUAAUUGGAUUUUUAUGGACUUAAUUGGAUUUUUAUUUGAAUUUAUAAAGGAUUUGAUUGCAAGAAAAAUUAAUUUUUAAGUCAAUUUGGGCUUUAAUUUGAAGAAAUUUAAGUUCUGGGGCUAAAAUAUAUUUUUUAGGAAUUUAUUGGGUCAAAUCAGGGGCUUAAUUGCAUAAAUAUUGAAGUUUAAGGGCCAAUUAGGGAUUUAAUUAAGAAAAUCCAAAACCAGGGACCAAAUUGGAAGAGGCGCGUAAAUGGAGGGGCUGCAAAUUUUUCGGUUCAGGGGCCUAAUUGAAGAAAUUGAAAGUUUAUUAAUCAAUUGAGGGCUAAAUUGCAUAAAUCAGAGACCAAGGACCAAAGUGAAAAAGGCAGCCAACAAGAGGGGCGGAGACCGAGUCGAAGGACUGAUUUGGAUUUUGACCCUUUAAAUGAAACGGCGCGUUUUAUCCAAAACGACGCCGUUUCAUAUAUAUAUAUAUAUAUAUAUAAAAAAAAAGAAAGACCAGAACGGUGUCGUUUUGAACGACACUGUUCGUCUUCUUCCUUUCCCCCGCAGAAACAGAAACAGAGACAAAACCAUUUUUUUUUUUUGUUUUUUUUCAAAAUCUUCACGCGCCUCUCUCUCCUCGCCCCCACCACCUUUAGCAUUGGCCGACCAGCCGUUGCACCGCACUAACGAUGGUCCCCCACGGUUCGGCCCCUAUAAAUAGAGAAGAAAACCGAAGCUGCAAGGGAGGGAGAGAAGGAAAAAAACCGAAGGGAGGAGAGAGAGAGGAGACCGAAGAGAGAGAGAAUAAACAGGAGAGAGUGAAAAUAGAAACAGAAAACUGAAAACAAAAAAAGAAGAAAACAGAAAACCAAGAGAAUUGAAGAAAAAAAAGAGAAAGACCGAAACAAAAAAAAAAGAAAAGGGGAAGAGGAAGAAAAUCUUUUCUCCCCGCAACAGCCACAGCGCCGCCGUCCGUGAAGCCACGCCACCGCAGAGCCACCGCAGCACCGCCUCCUCCACGCCAGGUCACCUCUUCUCCCCCCUUUCGUUAGUUUUUUAUUUGCUUUCCCUGCAUGCAGAAUGAACAUUCUGCAUGCAGGAGAAGGGGGGAAUUAAUUCCCCCCCUGUUGAUGCGUAGCUGGGCCAGGCGGAUCCUGGCCCAGCAUUGUUUUUUUUUGGGCCAGACUGAGUCUGGCCCGGCCUUGUGUUUGUCGGGCCAGACCAGGUCUGGCCCAUACCAGCUCUCUGGGCCAAGUCCGGCCCAGAUAUUUGGGCCGGCCCAGCCCGAAUUAUUUUUAUAUUAUAUAUUAUAUAUUAUAUUAUAUGUGUGUAUAUAUGUAUAUAUAUAUAAAAAAUAAUAAUAAAAAAUAUAUAUUUUAAAAAAUAUCUUAAAAAAAAAUAUUGUGAUGUUUCUGCAUAUUUUUUGUCAAAGUGGUUUAAUGUUGGUUUGUAUUUUUAUACUGUAAAGAUACAAAACCAGUGUUAAAAAAUACCCGGUUUUCGUCAAAAUAUCAAAGAUUUUCAGAAUAAAAAAUGUUUUUGCUUUCAAAAAAAUUCUAAAAAUUCCCUAAAAAUGUUGUUGAUUUUUCUGCAUAUUUUUAUCAAAGUGGAUUAAUAUUGGGUUGUAUUUUUAUACCGUAAGGAUACGAGCUCAGUAUUAAAAUACCCAAUUUUCGUCAAAGCAUAAAAAAAAAUAAUAUUUCCCAAAAAUUGUUUUUGUUUUAAAAUACGGCCUAGUCUCUCCAAUAUAUAUAUAUAAAUAUUAUAACAUCAUAUUUUCACAUAACAAAGAAAAUUUUCAAAGCAAUAUAUGUAUUAACAUGCAUUUUGGCUUUAAUAACCAGUUUAUUCAAGCCAUGAGAACUAGGCCAAUAUUUCAAAAAUUCUAAAAAUCUUUUUGUUUUCUUUUAGUAUUUGGGAUUACGAAUUUAUACGUAAAACGUAUUCCUAAAUAUUAUUAAUAAAGUUUGGUAUAGACGUUAGAACGGUUAGGAUUUUACCCGAUAAGAUAAAAGACCUUCUUACUGAGGAGGAUUUUUUCUUGAACCAUAGACAAACCAACGACUAGAAGUACAAUAACAUUUUAGUUUUUUUUUUAUCAGACAAUAAAACAAUGCAGCUUACCUUAGGUAGGGCGUAUUUGGGGUGCUAAUACCUUCCCUUUACGCAACCAGUCUCCGUACCCGAUCUCUGAGACCAGUUAGGUUCCUAGUGACCAAAAUACUAGGUGGCGACUCCAAAGAACCAAAAUAAAUUCGCCAGUCUAACCCGCAAUUGAAAUUUGUUGUUUUUGGGGUGCGACAGGACUCAUUGCGAAAUUCAUCCAUCUCAUUAAGUUGCAGGAUUCUUUUCUCACCUGCAACCUGCAAAUCCAUGUUCAGUUGUUUCAUUGCCCAGUAUGCCUUAUGCUCUAAUUCCACAGGAAGAUGACAUGCUUUUCCAAAAACUAAUCGAUACGGAGACAUUCCCAAUGGUGUUUUGAAUGCUGUCCGAUAUGCCCACAAUGCAUCAUCUAGCUUUCUUGCCCAAUCUUUGCGAGAAUUACUUACUGCUUUCUCUAAGAUUUGCUUCACCUCUCUAUUUGAUACCUCUAUUUGGCCAUUUGUCUGAGGAUGAUAAGCCAAUGCUCUUUUGUGUCUGACUCCAUACUUAGAUAGCAGUGCUUCAAACUGCUUGUUGCAAAAAUGAGUUCCUUCAUCACUGAUGAUGGCUCGAGGAGUACCAAAUCUGGUAAAGAUGUUCUUUCGUAGGAAAUUAAGUACCACCUUGCCAUCAUUUGUAGGCGUUGCAAUUGCCUCAAUCCACUUUGAUACAUAAUCCACUGCUAAGAGAAUGUAUUUGUUGUUAUAGGAUGAAGGAAAAGGUCCCAUGAAAUCGAUGCCCCAAACAUCAAAUAAUUCAACUUCUAGGAUAUUCUGUAGUGGCAUUUCAUUUCUUCGAGAUAUGUUCCCAGUAUGCUGACAUCUAUCACAAGCAGUAACAAAAGCAUGAGCAUCUUUAAACAUAGUGGGCCAAUAAAAACCUGAUUGCAGAACUUUGGCUGCAGUGCGCUGUGCUCCAAAGUGCCCCCCAUAUUCAAGUGUAUGGCAGUGCUUCAAAAUAUUUGUCAUUUCCUCUUCUGGAACACACCUCCUGAUGACUUGAUCUGCACAAUGCCGAUAGAGUAUCGGCUCCUCCCAGAAGUAGUGUUUGACUUCAGAAAAAAAUUUCUUCUUUUGCUGGUAAGAAAAAUCUGGCGGUAUGAUCUUACCUGCAAGAAAGUUGACAUAAUCUGCAUAUCAAGGAAAGAAUUUGUUAGUGGAAAUUGCUAAGAGUCGUUCAUCAGGAAAACAUUCAUUUAUAACCGUGAAUUUAGGCUCCAGCUGUUGUGUCAAUUCCAGCCUUGAAAGAUGAUCUGCCACCACGUUCUCAGUCCUCGUUUUGUCUUUAAUUUCUACAUCAAAUUUUUGCAGUAAUAGGAUCCAACGGAUGAGUCUAGGCUUGGCAUCUUUCUUAGACACUAGGUGUCUAAUUGCAGCAUGAUCAGUAUAUACCAGUACUUUGUUUCCCAUCAGGUAAGGCCGAAACUUAUCAAAUGCAUAGACCACAACAAGCAACUCUUUCUCGGUUGUGGCAUAAUUGAGCUGGGCAUCGUUGAGUGUUCUGCUGGCAUAGUAUAUGGUGUGAAACACAUUAUUUUUCCGUUGCCCCAGUACUGCUCCAACUGCAUAAUCACUUGCAUCACACAUAAGCUCAAAUGGUUUCUCCCAAUCCGGUGCAAUUACAAUAGGAGCUGUCACUAACUUCUUUUUCAACAGCAUAAAGGCUGUCUUGCAUUCCUCAUCAAACUGAAACUUUGUGUCUUUUAGCAGCAGACUGCAUAGCGGUUUGGAUAUUUUAGAGAAGUCUUUGAUGAACCUCCUAUAAAAUCCCGCAUGACCAAGGAAACUCCUAACCCCUUUUACUGUAGUUGGCGGCAGAAGCUUGUCUAUUGCCUCAAUUUUAGCUCUGUCUACCUCUAUUCCUUUUUCUGAAAUCCGGUGCCCCAACACUAUACCUUCCUUUACCAUGAAGUGACAUUUUUCCCAGUUCAAUAUCAAGUUUGUCUUUUCACAACGCUCCAAAACCAACGCCAACUUUGCAAGGCAUCAUCAAAAGAAGUUCCAAAUACAGAAAAGUCAUCCAUGAAGACUCAAUGAUUUGCUCCACCAUAUCUGAAAAAAUAGCCAUCAUGCACCUCUGAAAGGUAGCUGGUGCAUUACACAACCCAAAAGGCAUUCUUCUGAAAGCAAAAGUACCAUAAGGGCAGGUGAAAGUGGUCUUCUCUUGGUCCUCAGGUGCGAUGGCUAUUUGGUUGUAUCCUGAAUAGCCAUCUAGGAAACAGUAGUAUUCAUGCCCAGCUAACCUGUCCAGCAUCUGAUCAAUGAAUGGUAGGGGGAAGUGAUCUUUGCGAGUUGCCUUGUUGAGCUUUCGAUAAUCCAUGCAAAUCCUCCAUCCAGUUACCGGUCUAGUAGGUAUCAAGUUGUUGUUUGCAUCUUUUACCACUGUCAUUCCUCCUUUCUUUGGCACAACUUGAACUGGGCUCACCCAUGAGCUGUCAGAGAUUGGAUAAAUAACACCAGCAUCUAACCAUUCAGAACUUCUUUUCGGACUACCUCUUUCAUGGUCGGGUUAAGCCUUCUCUGAUGUUCUACUGUUGGCUUGACUUCAUCCUCCAACAGAAUUUUAUGCAUGCAAAUAGAGGGACUGAUGCCUUUGAUAUCUGCCAAUACCCACCCGAGAGCUGCUUAUGUUUUCUCAACACCCUCAACAAUUUUUCUUCCUCUGUUUUGGUCAGCUUUGCAGAGACUAUCACAGGAUAGGUGGAAGCUUCUCCAAGAUAUGCAUACCGAAGGUGUUCUGGCAGAGGUUGCAAUUCCAGAACCGGUGCUUGUUCACUGGUUGAUUUUAUUUUGGUGCUGGUUGUCCCAAAUCUUCAAAGUAUCUUCUGCGUUAGGUUCAAAGAGUCCAUCCAACAUGUAUAUUCUGCUAUUUCAGCAUCCUCUUCCAGUACAUUAUUUACCAAACAUGCUUCCAACGGGUCAGUUGGAAGCUUGACUUUUCAUUAAUUAAGGAGUCCACCACUUGAAUGCUGAAGCAACUCUCCCCAUAUCUGGUUUUGAUGGCUUUGAACACAUUGAAAAUCACCUCCUCUUCAUUCACCCUUAACCGCAGCUCCCCUUUCUUCACAUCAAUUAACGCACCUCCAGUGGCCAAGAAUGGCCGGCCAAGCAAGAUAGGAAUCUCAUUAUCCUCCUCCAUAUCCAGUAUGAUGAAGUCUGCUGGAAAGAUGAACUUGCCCACUUUCACCAAUACAUCUUCAAUUAUUCCCCUCGGAUGCUUCAAUGACCUGUCAGCUAGCUGCAGUGUUACUGUGGUUGGCCUUGCUUCACCUAAACCAAGCUUCUUAAAAAUAGAUAAAGGCAUGAGAUUAAUACUUGCACCUAAAUCACAUAAAGCUUUUUCAAAUAUAGAAUUUCCAAUGGAACAUGGUAUAGUAAAACUCCCUGGAUCCUUAAGUUUAGGAGGUAGUUUCUUCUGCAAAAUAGCACUGCAUUCCUCAGUAAGAGCGACAGUCUCAUAUUCCUCUAGCUUUCUUUUGUUUGAGAGGAUGUCCUUCAGAAAUUUCACAUAGCUUGGCAUUUGUUCAAGAGCAUCUGCAAAAGGAAUGUUAAUCUGCAAUUUUUUAAACACAUCAAGAAAUUUAGAAAAUUGCUUAUCAAGUUUAUUCUUCUUGAGACGUUGUGGACUUGAUCUGCACAAUGCCGAUAGAGUAUUGGCUCCUCCCAGAAGUAGUGUUUGACUUCAGAAAAAAAUUUCUUCUUUUGCUGGUAAGAAAAAUCUGGCGGUAUGAUCUUACCUGCAAGAAAGUUGACAUAAUCUGCAUACCAAGGAGAGAAUUUGUUAGUGGAAAUUGCUAAGAGUCUUUCAUCAGGAAAACAUUCAUUUAUAACCGUGAAUUUAGGCUCCAGCUGCUGUGUCAAUUCCAGCCUUGAAAGAUGAUCUGCCACCAUGUUCUCAGUCCCCUUUUUAUCUUUAAUUUCUACAUCAAAUUCUUGCAGUAAUAGGAUGCAACGGAUGAGUCUAGGCUUGGCAUCUUUCUUAGACACUAGGUGUCUAAUUGCAGCAUGAUCAGUAUAUACCAGUACUUUGUUUCCCAUCAGGUAAGGCCGAAACUUAUCAAAUGCAUAGACCACAGCAAGCAACUCCUUCUCGGUUGUGGCAUAAUUGAGCUGGGCAUCGUUGAGUGUUCUGCUGGCAUAGUAUAUGGUGUGAAACACAUUAUUUUUCCAUUGCCCCAGUACUGCUCCAACUGCAUAAUCACUUGCAUCACACAUAAGACGUUGUGGAAAUGGAAUUCUUUGCAUUAUUUCUUGCAUUGGUUCUGGCAGAGGAUCAGAUUUUUUCAUAUUCUGAAUUGGUUCGGCCAUUUGCUCCUCUUCUUCUCUUCCCGCACUCUUGUUUCCAGCAGUCUGCUCCACUUCUUUUCCACUUCUUAAAGUUAUGGCCUUGCAUUGAUCCUUAGGAUUAAUUUCAGUUGUGCUUGGUAGAUUUCCUUGUUGUCUACCCGUGAGCAUGUUGGCUAACUGACCAACCUGAACCUCCAAAUUUUGAAUUGAAGCUGCUUGGUUCUGCAGAUUGGUAUUUGUAUCAGUCAUGAAUCUACUGGUGUUGUUUGCUAAUUGUGCCAUAGCUUCUUCAAGUUUUGAUUUCUCCUUCAUGUGCUCACUUGAAGAUGGCAUGGCUGGAUUCUUCAUGACAGUUUGAUUGUUCCAUGAGAAAUUAGGAUGAUUUCUCCAACCGGGAUUAUAUGUUGCACUGUAGGGGUUGUUCUGCCGGCUGUAAUUUGACACAAAAUGAGCAUGCUCUGCUUGAGAGAAUGGGUUCCCAACCUGACACUCUUCACUCGUGUGAUUUCCAUGACAAAAAUCACACGUUGUAUGGAUGGCAUUUGCUGACAGUUGAGUGGUUUUCAGUUGCUGAGGUAGUGAAUGGACUUGAGCUGUUAAUGCCGUGAUUGCAUCAAUUUCGUGCACCCCAACAGUCUUCUUCUGUAUGCUUCUUUCAUUUGGCCAUUGGUAAUUGUUCAUAGCCAUUUCUUCCAAUAAGUUGUAAGCAUCAUCCUGUGACUUACUCAUAAAAGCUCCUCCCGAAGCUGCAUCAAUUAGUGUUCUUGUGGAGGCAUUCAAUCCAUUGUAAAAAUUCUGCACCUGCAUCCACUUCGGUAGUCCAUGGUGGGGGCAUCGCCUGAGCAAAUCCUUGUAUCUCUCCCAUGCCUCAUACAAUGGUUCACUCUCAAGUUGGGCGAAGUUAGCUAUCUCAAUACGCAUUUUUGCUGUCUUGGCUGGUGGAAAAAAUUUAGCAAGGAAUUUCUGAGCUAAAUCUUCCCAACUAAUAACAGAAUCUGCAGGCAUGGAGUUUAACCAAUUCUUUGCUCUAUCUCGCAGAGAAAAUGGAAACAAUCUGAGGCGAAUGGCAUCAUCAGUAAUGCCAUUAUGCUUAAAUGUGUCACAAAUUUCCAAGAAACUUGCAAUAUGGGCGUUAGGAUCAUCACUUGGCAACCCAUAAAACUGAACUGAGGUUUGAAUCAUCUGCAGUAUUGCUGGUUUGAUCUCAAAAUUAUUGGCCUCAAUCCUUGGUUUCUUGAUAACAGAACGGAUUCCUGUCACCUGUGGGAGAGCAAAAUCUCUCAAUGCCCGUGUAUCUUGCUCAGGAUUUUCAUUUUCUGCCAUGAUGCUUGAACUGUUUUGAGUCUCUCGCGUUUUCUUUCUUAAUCCCCUUGCAGUUCUCUCAAUCUCAGGAUUAUAAGGUAGCAACGGCUGAUUUUUGUUGCUUCUCAUGCACUAGACAACACACCUAAAGAGCUGAAGACAAAAGGCAAUCAAAUUAGAUCAAAUUUAAUUUAUAUUGAUAUUAUUAGUAAUUUUAUCUAAAAUCCCCGGCAACGGCACCAAAAACUUGUUGGUUAUUUUUGCAAGUGCACAAAUCGUAACAAGUAAUAAAGUGAUGAGUAGAGUAUCGUCCCACGAGGAUUUGUAAAAAUUACUACUAAUUACCAAAGUCUUUUAAAUUAUGAUCUAUUUGAAGAAUCGAAUGAGAUAGUUUAUGAAACAAAAAUUAAUGAUUAAAAGGUAACAACUAUUUGAUUAAAUAUUAAUGAAUUCAAUUGUACUGGUUCUAGGAUUUCUGACUUACCGUAACUAUGCCUAUGUGAACUUUCUCAUUAAAUUAAUUACUCCUAAUGUUGAUAAUCAGGUUUUUCUUAAUGUAAAUAUUAAUCUCUCUCGAGCAUCAAUAAAUUAUUUCGACAAACAAAUUUCAUAUACUCUACGAAAGUUCUGAACUUGUCGAAUUUAUUAAGUACUGUAAAACCUGUAACGAUUACAAAAGUUCAUAGGAUAUCUCUAUCCUAUAGAUUUCUUAAGGUAUUUCAAACAAUAGCUAAAACAAUUAUUACUUCUCAGUUUCAAAUUGAAUUCUAAAUCAUGCAAUGUUGGCCAAACACACGCAAGCAUUACACAUAGAAUGAAAUACUCAACAUCUUAAUGUCAUAAUUCAAUCGAAGAAAUUGUUCACAUAUUCAUAGUAAGGUUACAUCAAAAAUCCCAGAAUAAAAGUCUACUCCAUAGUUAAAUUAAAGAGAAACAAACUUGAUACGAUGAACAUCACUCAAAAGCAGAGAAUUUCCGUCGAAGAGAUAGGUGUCCUCCCGGUUUUUGAAUAGUUUUGCCUCUGCCAAAGGUGUAUUUUUUUUUCCCUUGGUGCCGCCUCCUCUCUUUUUGUUUUCUAUGUUGUAGGUUUGUCGUCUGGUGAAUCCCCCACUUUUUCUCUUCUUUUAUAUUGUGGCUUUUCUACCCCUGCAGUAAUGAGGAAAAUUUCCUAUUCUGCAUUAAAUUCCUUCCUACUCAGACAUUGCGGGCCCGAUUUGAGGUAGAAAACGUGCGAAUUAGAAGAUCUCUAUUUCUGGAGAAAUUGUAGAGAAUCAAAUUGUCUUUCCAACAAAACUAGUCUUGCAAUUUGUGGACGUCUGAGUGCUGAGAUAAGGGCCAUAAACCGAAGCAGUCUUUGCGGUGCAGGAGUUUCAGGCUGGUUCAAUCCUUGUUUUUCAACUCGCUUUUUGGGCUUCGAAACAACAAAACUGAGUUAUAUGCCCUUCAUAUGUUUUGUAGACCUUCAUCUCAGCUAUUUGAAAAUGGUUACGAACAUCCGGAACUAAAUUGUAUAGCUUCCUUGCAGCACAUAAUGAAUCACUGUUUAGUUUCACUGCCCGGCUCUGCCUGUUUAGUAACCUAAGAUCUGAAAACACAUUAAUUUCCCACGAGGUCAAUAGUUCAAAAAGAGAUUCAAAAUUCUAAUUUUCUUGUUCAACAUAUCCAAAAUAUUUAAAAAUCAAGCAUGAAUAGCGAAAAAUAUAUAUGCUAAAAAUUCCCUUAUCAAACGCACUGAAUGAUGAUAUACUAAAAAAUACAUUCCUUGAUAUAGAGAAAAAUUACAGAGGAUAGGUAUAAAAAAAGGUUUCUCUGUUUCUUAAGAAAACAACGUGAAUAUACAACAAUACAUUCUGCAAGGGCUGCUGGUUAUUAUAUAGCAAUACAAGUUGCUUAAAUUGGAUACAUUAAAUAGCCUAAUUCUCAGCUGAUUUACUUCCAUAAUCAGCCAACGUCUAUUUCUGUUUCUGUCUUGUCCUCCAACGUAACAUUCCUUAUUGCUACAGUUGAUUUGUUUCUAUAAUCAACCAAUGUCUCAACGUCUCUUUCUAUUUCUGUUUUGUUACCAUUAAUAUCCUCCCUCAAACUAGGCCGGGGUCGGAGGCAUAGUUUGUUCUUGAAGUAAGCCAGUGCAAUUUUUGACAUAGGUUUUGUGAAGAUGUCAGCUAUUUGGUCAUGAGUGGAGAUGUGUUGAGUAAUGAGAAGUCCAAGGGCAACACGUUCACGUACGAAAUGGUAAUCCAGCUCAAUGUGUUUGCUACGAGCAUGAAACACAGGGUUGACAGUCAUGUGCAACGCACUAAGAUUAUCACAGUAGAGGAUAGGCGGAGAAGUAUGUGAGAUGUGAACAUCUUGUAGGAUGAAAGUGAGCCAUGUAAGCUCUGCCGUUGUGUGUGCCAUAGCUCUGUAUUCGGCUUCAGUGCUGGAACGAGAGACAGUGGGUUGUUUCUUGGCACACCAUGAAAUGAGAUUGCUGCCAAGGAAUGUGUAGUAUCCAGUUGUGGAGCGUCUUGUUGUAGAGCAACCUGCCCAAUCUGCAUCAGAGAAGGCACAAAGAUCAAGUGUAGAGUGGGAAGUAAAGUUUAAACCUGUAUCAAUUGUGCCUUUGAUAUAUCUUAAGAUACGAUGAACCAUUUUGAAGUGUAUAACAGUUGGUGCAUGCAUGAAUUGGGAGACAAAAUUAACACUGUAUGAAAUAUCAGGUCUGGUGAGUGUUAAAUAUUGUAAGGCACCAACAAGCCCACGUAAAACCUGUGGAUCUUGUAGUAAUAUAUCAGUUGCUGCAGUCUUAGUCUUGGCUUCUAGUGGUGUGCUCAUUGGUUUACAAUCCACCAUACCAGCUCGUUCAAGGAUCGUCAACGCAUAGUGUGAUUGAGAGAGGUGAAGUCCUUCAGGUGUAUGAGUGAUUUCAAUACCUAGAAAGUGAUGAAUCGAGCCUAGAUCUUUCAUUGCAAAUUCUGAACUUAGCAGUUGAAUAAGGUUUGUAACCAGAGGAGUAGAGGAUCCUGUGAGGAGUAUAUCAUCAACAUAAAGAAGAAGAAUUAAUGUAUCAGAGUUAGAGUGAAAAACAAAAAGAGAUGGAUCGGCAAGACUGCAAAAGAAACCAUAUUGAAGAAGAAAUAUACUAAACCGGUCAAACCAAGCACGAGGUGCUUGUUUGAGACCAUAAAGAGCCCUUCUUAGCUUGCACACAUGAGAUGGGUAUCGUGAAUCAGCUAUUCCUGGUGGUUGUUCCAUGUAUAUAUCUUCUGAUACAAAACCAUGUAGGAAAGCAUUUUUAACAUCAAGUUGUCGUAUGUGUCAUAACCCAAUUUUUGAACAAAUAAUAAAAAUUAAAUAUAGUUGACAAUGGGGUUAAGACAACAAAUUUUGAAGCGUAAGGAUAAAAUUAUCAGAUUUGAGAAUAAAUUGGUCAGAAAUUGAAGAAUUAAUAAGUUUGGAAAUUUACUUAAAGUUUAGAUUAGUUUAAUUAAUGAAAUUAGAAGAAUUAAUAAGUUCAUGGACUUAAUUAAAACUUUGAUUUAAUUAAUUAAAUAAAUUCAGGGACUUAAUUGAAAUUUAUCCAAAAAGGGCAAAUUGAAAGAAAUUUUUAUUUGCUUAGGGGUCCAAUUGCAAAAUUUCCAAAGUUCAGGGGUCAAAUUGAAAAUGUCCACGGGUUGCUUGAAAACGUCGCCGUUGCUGGGAACAGCUGUGUUCGUCGUCUCCAUCCCGGUUCAAAAGGCUGAAGAUCUGCAACAAAUUUGAUCCGAUCGUGGACCACGUCUCUUGCCCAUGAUCCCCUCUCGUGAUUUGAAUAACAGUCCUGCAAAGAUGGGAUUGAUUUAGGGGGGAAGCUCUCGAGCUCUAUAAAAAGGCACGAACAAGCCAGCACAAAAAAAAAAAACCCAGCAACAAGGAAAAAAAAAACAAAGUAAUUCACCCAGAAAAAAAAGAAGCAGGAGGACCCAAAAAAAACCAGAAAAACACAAGCAAAAAACCCAGAAAAACAGAGCCGGGAUAAACAGAAAAAACCAGAAACAGGGGGGAAAACAGAGGACGCGCACAAAUAAAGAUAGAGACGAGUAUUGGUGCUCAUUGCCUUCGUCCCUGCAAACAACGAAAACCAGGAAUCAAAAACAAGUUCCCCUCAGGCCGGUCUCUUCAUCAUCCUCUCGACUGGAAAACCCAGGAGACACACAGAAAAAAAAACAAGCAGAGGAAAAUCACGAGAUCGCUGCCACUGCCUUCAGCGUUUCCAGAACCUGAAGAGAAAGUAAAGGAAAGCAGAAGAACGAGCAGAAGAGAGAAGGCAGUGCCGGCCAGCCAGAGCUUCGUCAUCGUGUCCAUCGAUUCCAGCAGACCAGGUAAGUGGUUUCUUCUUCUGCAUUUAUUUCAAAUGCCUUAUGCACUGUGCAAGUGAAUUUUAAUUCACUUGCACAGUGCAGCAGCACGCGUGCGUUAACGCACGCGUGCUGCUGAGCCCAGCCGGGCCACUGGCCAGGCCGGGCUGGCUGGGCUUAGCCCAGUCCAUAUCGGCUGAGCUGGGCCCAGCCAAAAAAUACUAUGUUGGGCUGGGCCCAGCCCAGCCCCAAAAAAAAUAAAAAAACAGAAAAAUAAAAAAGGAGGUGGAGAAAAAUAAAAAAAUAAAAAAUGUGUAUGCAUAAAUAAAAAUAAUGUAAAUUUAUUGGUUUAUUCACUAACGCCAGAGUUAGGAAUAAAAAUACCGGUUUAAAUUUAUAUUAUUUUUAUUAGUUGUAUUUUAUUUUAUUUGGAUGAAUAAAAAUAAUGUAAAUUUAUUGGUUUAUUCACUGACGCCAGAGUCAGGAAUAAAAAUACCGGUUUAAAUUUAUAUUAUUUUUAUUCGUUGUAUUUUAUUUUAUUUUAGCUAGAAAAAAUAAAAAAUAUGUGCAUGCGUAAAAAUGAAUGUAGUAUUAUUUAUUUAUUCACUGGCGUCAGAGUUGGGAAUAAAAAAAAACAUUUGAUUUAAAUUUAUUUUUUUUAGCUACGUAAUAUUUAUCAACACCAGAGUUGGAAAUAUUCGUAGUUAAUAUUCACUGGCGCCAGAGUCAGGAAUAUUGUAAGCAAAUUUUCAUAACAUAAAAAAAAAAUAAACAUUUAGCAAUUUAAGACGAAACUAGCAAUGUAGCCUGCCUCAGGCAGGACGUUUAAGGGGUGAUAUAAAUCUUCCCUUACGUAACCAGUCCGAACCAUAAAAUCUCUGUUGACCAGUUAGGGUUCCUAGUGACCAUAAUACUAGGUGGCGACUCCUUAAACAAGAAUAUUCCAUCAAAGAACAGGAUGCCAGAAAUCCGUUCUUUCCAAAGAUUAAUUAAUUUUUAAGGCCGCCGGAUGUCGGGUGCGACAGAAUGGCGACUCCACUGGGGACUAAUGGACUAAGCUUUGCUUUUGUUUAUCAAUUGCUAUAAUGUUUUUAUGUUAUGUUUAUUUGUUUAUUUUUCUUGAAUUUACUGCUUUAGCAUGCAUCCAUGUUUAUAUUGUCAUGCAUCACGUUAGAGCACACACGACAACUGAAAAUCUAGGAUAAGUGGGAAAGUAACGGUACCCCAAUGGCUUUGCCUGGGUAAGACUCGUGAAACCAUCCAACUCUCGCUUGAUUGUUUACUUGGAAGUGGUUGAUAUGCCAAACUGAUAUUACUCAGGGCCUCUAUUUUCACACUACUUGUAAGCCUCAUAUCGACCUUUCAUGGACGAUCACUGAGCAUGCGAGAGACCCUUUGAAACUAGAUAAUGACCAACCCUUUGAUGCACUCAACAAUUAGGAUCUUCCUAUUAGGUUGUCAUCCCGUGAAGGACGUGUCUGCAUUCCAUACGCAUUUUUAAUUGAAUCAACAUUUUUGCAUAAAUUGCAUGAUUUACAUUUACAGGUUGAAAUAUAGGUUCCCAUUUGAAACCCAUUAGAGAAAAAGACAAAUGGAAAUGAAGAAAGAGCCAGUUGGAAGCCCAACAUCAAAAAGAGGUGGACAAUCUUAAAGAAGAAGUCGCAAGGCUUACUAGUCUACUCGAGCAGGCCUUGAGAGAUAAAUCCGGAAAAGCAACACUUAUAGCUCAGCCUGAAGAUGCUGUAAAUCUCAUUCAUCCACAGAAUCUGGGGCAAAUGGGUUGUCAUCUGAUUUCAACAAGCCAUGCAUUUUCACCAGCAUACCCCCGAGAAUGUCGUUUACCAUUGAUUCUACAGAGAAUGAAUCUCAAAAGGGCAAAGGUAAAAGAAGAUGAGCUGAACAAAUUCAUUGCCUAGAACAAAGGAUGAGGGCAUUUGAGGGAAUUCACCUUAUAUCCUAUAAAGGCUGCUGAGAUGUGUUUGGUGCCAACGUAGUCAUUCCAAAAGUUUAGAGUGCCAGAAUUUUAAAUAUACGGGAACUCAAUGCCCUAUAACUCAUCUCAAAGCAUACUGCAACAAAAUGGCUGAGGUGGUUGAUGAUGAGAAACUGCUGAUUCAUUUCUUUCAAGACAGUCUGAGUAAUGGCCCUCACUUGGUAUAUGCGGUUGGACAAUACCAAGGUUAAAAAAUGGAAGGAUUUAGUUGAUGCCUUCAUGAGGCAAUAUAAGUUCAAUAUAGAUGUGGGCCUGAUCGUUUAAGCUUGCAAGCUAUGGAGAAGGAUAACAAAGUCCAUAAGAGAAUACGCCCGGAGAUGGAGUGAGUUAGCUGCACAAGUUAACCCUCCCAUGUUGGAAAAAGAGAUGAUCACUUUAUUUUCCGACACCUUUAAAGCUCCGUACUUUGAAUACUUGGUUAGAAGCUCUGCACAACAUUUCACUGACCUGGUUGUUAUAGCUGAGAGGAUUGAACAAGCCAUUGGGUUAGGUAAGAUUGCUAACCCGACUGAGAAGAACGGUUUCACUGAAGGUGGUUGCCAAGACACUUAUCAUUUCUAUAGCUAAUUGCUUCACAUCGACUCCUAGAAAUCAACUAUCUUGAAGAUAAAGCUAUGGUGAUAUUAGGUCGAGAAUGAUCUACAUUUGAUUUCAAUUGACUGUUGAAAAGAUGCCGUUGUCGAGGAGAAUGAAUGAUUGAAAUAUUCCAGAAAUUCCAAUCAAUGAUCGUUAAAUGUUUAGCCUCUUUAUAUGUUAUCAUACCAGUAUUCAUAGCCCAAGAUGUUGUCAUAAGUUCUUUCUUGUUGAACUUAUUUUCUAAAGUUUCAAUGAAAAUAAUGAGUUUGUCAUUCAAUCGUGUUUACGAUUAGCAUUAUUCAUUUUUUCUGAGAGAGUUUUCUUAUAAAGAUUCACAAACACAUCUUUGAAGCCUUGUGCGAUCUCAUAGACGCAAUUCAUCUUUUACCAAAAAUCAGUUUCCCUAUUGGAGUUUUGAAAAAAAUUGAUCUGGCAUUUUGAUUUCAAAAAAUAAUUUGAUGUUUAUUCAAAAACGAUAUUUUUGACAUUCUACUUAUAGAAUGACAAGUGAAUCAAGCAACUCCAUCAUUGAGGUGACUAAAUUAGAAAAACAAUUAUAAAAAAAAAAUAAACACCCUUACCCCAUUACUCUUGAAUCAUGUGUUUUUAAAUGUAUGAAUAAUGGUAUAUAGUGAACUUGUUGCUCAUAACUCAUGAAAUGCAUCUUUGCAAAGAAUAAACCAUCACACUAUACGAGGUCAAAGUUUAUUGAUCAUAGCUGCUUGCGCUUGAAAUGAGGAAAGGCCAUCUUUGUUAUUCCUUUCACGUUCUAAAAUAAGUACAUCCCUUGCAAACCCUUUUUGAGCCUGAAUAAUUUUUCUUUCAUAAAAAAAUCCCGACUAAGAUCACACCCUACACUGGGGGCAAGUGAAAUUUCAAUGAUCAAGAAGGAUGAUAAAGCCGUGAGAAAGCCAAAAGGCAAAAGAGCCCAAGAAACUCAAAUGCUAGGGAUCAUGCCCACAUCACAAAAAAGGGGCAAGUGAAAUUUCAAUGAUCAAGAAAAGGAUAAAGCCGUGAGAAAGCCAAAAGGCAAAAGAGCCCAAGAAACUCAAAUACUAGGGGGCAUGCCCAAUCACAAGAAAAAGUGAUAACCAAGAUAAAGUGAGUAUGCUCUAGCGAGCAAUGAAAAAGAAAAAAGGGGCAAAUCAAAGAAGAGCGGCAAAGGAAAAUAUGAAUGACGUCAAAAGUCAAACUAUUGAUCGUGAUCUUCAGUCUUUGAAACCCUGAAACACUCUUUGAGCCUUAUGAAUCAUUUUCUUUCAUAGCCAAAAACCACAGCCUAUGUUACGUGCCUGUAGAAGUCCUUUCUAAUCAAGCAAGCAAGCAAUCUAGAACAAUAAACAAUGCUCUCAAAAUGCAAAGAAUACUUUUUCAUAAGAUUCAUGACAUCAAGAAUAAACUACUCAUUAUUAUUCAUGCUGAUAAAAAUAAAUGUUCAAAAAGAGACAAGUUUUUCUCAUACAAAACCUCGAGCUUUUUCUCGAGCCCUUCACUUCAAAACAAAAGGUCAUCUCAUGAUAUGUUUUCACCGAAGACCUCGUUACCAAACACAAGAGCAAAUAAUCUCUUUUCCAAAAGAAAAUAACCAAGGAGUUGCAAGAUUUCAAAAAGCAAAUUGUUAUUUGACUCACAUCGAAAUAAUUUUUGUUUUCAAAAUGCAAGAUCAAGAUUUCAAGAUUCAUUCUAGACCCAUAUUCCUUCCACCAAACUGAAAAGGAGAGAAAUGAGAGAAUGCCUCUUAAAACCUUUAUUUUCUAAGUCGCUGACAGAAGCACACUUAGGGGAAUAACCAAUACAAGGGGGCAACAUUGUGUUUAGAAGGAAAAUUCUAGAAAAGGAGAUGGUAAUUUCCUUCAACCAGACAAGGGGGCAUUUUGGUUUACAAAAGACAGCUCGAUCCUUUCAGCAAGUGAUACCAAUGUUUUUAGCAGUGAAGACGAGUAAUGAAUAAUCCUCUCAAAUUAUUUGACGAAUCAGAAAAUCUUAGCAAGCAAGUGGGUCACGAUGGCACCAAAAUGCUGAGUUGUGCAAACAAAUUUGGAAAGACUUACAUGGGCCAACUCGAGUGGGCUAGAAAGCUAAACGACAAAGAUGACUCAAAUCAGAUAGCAAGAUCUCACCAACAACAAGAAAGAUUAAGAAGAAAUGGGGGCCUAUAUUUCAAAUCAGGUAAAGAUGCAUGCAUAUCAUUUAAACUUGGAGACAUUGGACAAUGAGUUUUGCAAACUUCAUAUGAGAAAAUUCCAACAAAAUCCAUCAAGUGGAAGGCCAACUUGAAAUGGCCAAAGAUCAAAAUUGCUGUUGAAAAUUAUCAUUUUUGAGAAUUUUUCAACCUGGGCAGGCCGCCCAUGAGAAUUAGGCCACCAGAAAAAUCUCUGUAUUUUUUCACCACCUUUCAGUUUCCACACCUGAGGUAGUGCAUUUUCUAUCCUACCUCCAUUCGAGCGCGCCUUCGAGCCCUCGUCUUACAUUCGAGCGCGCCUUUGAGCCCUCGUCUUACAUUUGAGCGCGCCUUCGAGCCCUCGACCAUCAAAGGUAGUGCAUUUUCUAUCCUACCUCCAUUCGAGCGCGCCUUCGAGCCCUCGUCUUACAUUCGAGCGCGCCUUCGAGCCCUCGUCUUAUUUAUUUUCGAGCGCGCCUUUGAGCCCUCGACCAUCAAAGGUAGUGCAUUUUCUAUCCUACCUCCAUUCGAGCGCGCCUUCGAGCCCUCGUCUUAUCAUUCGAGCGCGCCUUCGAGCCCUCGUCUUAUUUAUUUUCGAGCGCGCCUUCGAGCCCUCGACCAUCAAAGGUAGUGCAUUUUCUAUCCUACCUCCAUUCGAGCGCGCCUUCGAGCCCUCGUCUUACAUUCGAGCGCGCCUUCGAGCCCUCGUCUUAUUUAUUUUCGAGCGCGCCUUCGAGCCCUCGACCAUCAAAGGUAGUGCAUUUUCUAUCCUACCUCCAUUCGAGCGCGCCUUCGAGCCCUCGUCUUAUAUUUUCGAGCGCGCCUUCGAGCCCUCGACCAUCAAAGGUAGUGCAUUUUCUAUCCUACCUCCAUUCGAGCGCGCCUUCGAGCCCUCGUCUUAUUUAUUCGAGCGCGCCUUCGAGCCCUCGACCAUCAAAGGUAGUGCAUUUUCUAUCCUACCUCCAUUCGAGCGCGCCUUCGAGCCCUCGUCUUACAUUCGAGCGCGCCUUUGAGCCCUCGUCUUACAUUUGAGCGCGCCUUCGAGCCCUCGACCAUCAAAGGUAGUGCAUUUUCUAUCCUACCUCCAUUCGAGCGCGCCUUCGAGCCCUCGUCUUACAUUCGAGCGCGCCUUCGAGCCCUCGUCUUAUUUAUUUUCGAGCGCGCCUUUGAGCCCUCGACCAUCAAAGGUAGUGCAUUUUCUAUCCUACCUCCAUUCGAGCGCGCCUUCGAGCCCUCGUCUAUUUAUUUUCGAGCGCGCCUUCGAGCCCUCGACCAUCAAAGGUAGUGCAUUUCUAUCCUACCUCCAUUCGAGCGCGCCUUCGAGCCCUCGUCUUAUUUAUUUUCGAGCGCGCCUUCGAGCCCUCGACCAUCAAAGGUAGUGCAUUUUCUAUCCUACCUCCAUUCGAGCGUGCCUUCGAGCCCUCGUCUGAGUUCUUUUCGAGCGCGCCUUCGAGCCCUCGACCAUCAUAGGUAGUGCAUUUUCUAUCCUACCUCCAUUCGAGCGCGCCUUCGAGCCCUAGUCUGAGUUUCGAGCGCGCCUUCGAGCCCUCGUCUUAUUUAUUUUCGAGCGCGCCUUCGAGCCCUCGACCAUCAAAGGUAGUGCAUUUUCUAUCCUACCUCCAUUCGAUCGCGCCUUCGAGCCCUCGUCUUAUUAAAAAAAAAAAAAAAAAAAAUUCCUUGUAUUUUACCAACUGGGCAGGUAACCCAUUACAAUGUGACCAACUGGGCAGGUAACCCAUUACAAUGUGACCAUUUGGGCGGGUAACCCAUUACAAUGUGACCACCUGGGUCGGUAACCCAUUACAAUAUACCAACUGGGCAGGUAACCCAUUACAAUGUGACCACCUGGGUCGGUAACCCAUUACAAUAUACCAUCCUAUACUGGGCAGGUAACCCAUUACAAUGUGACCAUCUGGGCCGGUAACCCAUUACAAUAUACCAAUUGGGCAGGUAACCCAUUACAAUGUGACCACCUGGGUCGGUAACCCAUUACAAUAUACCAUCCUAUACUGGGCAGGUAACCCAUUACAAUGUGACCAUCUGGGCCGGUAACCCAUUACAAUAUACCAUCACAAAAAAAAAAAUGAAAAGAAAAAAAAAAGAAAAAAAUUGGCUGUCUUCCAAAUGACUUGUUUUCUCUAUAAAAGUCAUAUGUCAAUCUCUGGUUUUCGAAGUUUUCAAGACUCUAAAAAAGAGGCAAAAGUUAUUUUUGUAUCUAAUUUUCUUUAUAAAUUUACUACACAAAGCUAAAAGAAAAUGAAAUUUUCUAAUAUCGUUGCAUUGUAAAUAUUAUAAAGAGGGGGCAACUGUCAUAACCCAAUUUUUGAACAAAUAAUAAAAAUUAAAUAUAGUUGACAAUGGGGUUAAGACAACAAAUUUUGAAGCGUAAGGAUAAAAUUAUCAGAUUUGAGAAUAAAUUGGUCAGAAAUUGAAGAAUUAAUAAGUUUGGAAAUUUACUUAAAGUUUAGAUUAGUUUAAUUAAUGAAAUUAGAAGAAUUAAUAAGUUCAUGGACUUAAUUAAAACUUUGAUUUAAUUAAUUAAAUAAAUUCAGGGACUUAAUUGAAAUUUAUCCAAAAAGGGCAAAUUGAAAGAAAUUUUAUUUGCUUAGGGUCCAAUUGCAAAAUUUCCAAGUUCAGGGUCAAAUUAAAAUGUCCACGGGUUGCUUGAAAACGUCGCCGUUGCUGGGAACAGCUGUGUUCGUCGUCUCAUCCCGGUUCAAAAGGCUGAAGAUCUGCAACAAAUUUGAUCCGAUCGUGGACCACGUCUCUUGCCCAUGAUCCCUUCUCGUGAUUUGAAUAACAGUCCUGCAAAGAUGGGAUUGAUUUAGGGGGGAGCUCUCGAGCUCUAUAAAAGGCACGAACAAGCCAGCACAAAAAAAAAACCCAGCAACAAGGAAAAAAAAACAAAGUAAUUCACCAGAAAAAAGAAGCAGGAGGACCAAAAAACCAGAAAAACACAAGCAAAAACCCAGAAAAACAGAGCCGGGAUAAACAGAAAAAACCAGAACAGGGGGGAAACAGAGGACGCGCACAAAUAAAGAUAGAGACGAGUAUUGGUGCUCAUUGCCUUCGUCCCUGCAAACAACGAAAACCAGGAAUCAAAAACAAGUUCCCCCUCAGGCCGGUCUCUUCAUCAUCCUCUCGACUGGAAAACCCAGGAGACACACAGAAAAAAAACAAGCAGAGGAAAUCACGAGAUCGCUGCCACUGCCUUCAGCGUUUCCAGAACCUGAAGAGAAAGUAAAGGAAAGCAGAAGAACGAGCAGAAGAGAGAAGGCAGUGCCGGCCAGCCAGAGCUUCGUCAUCGUGUCCAUCGAUUCCAGCAGACCAGGUAAGUGGUUCUUCUUCUGCAUUUAUUUCAAAUGCCUUAUGCACUGGUGCAAGUGAAUUUAAUUCACUUGCACAGUGCAGCAGCACGCGUGCGUAACGCACGCGUGCUGCUGAGCCAGCCGGGCCACUGGCCAGCCGGGCUGGCUGGGCUUAGCCCAGUCCAUAUCGGCUGAGCUGGGCCAGCCAAAAAUACUAUGUUGGGCUGGGCCCAGCCCAGCCCCAAAAAAAAUAAAAAAACAGAAAAAUAAAAAAAGGAGUGGAGAAAAAUAAAAAAUAGAUAUAAAUGUGUAUUGAUAAAAUAAAAAUAAUGUAAAUUUAUUGGUUUAUUCACUAACGCCAGAGUUAGGAAUAAAAAUACCGGUUUAAAUUUAUAUUAUUUUUAUUAGUUGUAUUUUAUUUUAUUUGGAUGAAUAAAAAUAAUGUAAAUUUAUUGGUUUAUUCACUGACGCCAGAGUCAGGAAUAAAAAUACCGGUUUAAAUUUAUAUUAUUUUUAUUCGUUGUAUUUUAUUUUAUUUUAGCUAGAAAAAAUAAAAAAUAUGUGCAUGCGUAAAAAUGAAUGUAGUAUUAUUUAUUUAUUCACUGGCGUCAGAGUUGGGAAUAAAAAAAAACAUUUGAUUUAAAUUUAUUUUUUUUAGCUACGUAAUAUUUAUCAACACCAGAGUUGGAAAUAUUCGUAGUUAAUAUUCACUGGCGCCAGAGUCAGGAAUAUUGUAAGCAAAUUUUCAUAACAUAAAAAAAAAAUAAACAUUUAGCAAUUUAAGACGAAACUAGCAAUGUAGCCUGCCUCAGGCAGGACGUUUAAGGGGUGAUAAUAUCUUCCCUUUUACGUAACCAGUCCCGAACCAUAAAAUCUCUGUUGACCAGUUAGGGUUCCUAGUGACCAUAAUACUAGGUGGCGACUCCUUAAACAAAGAAUAUUCCUAUCAAAGAAUAGGAUGCCAUAAAUCCGUUCUUUCCAAAGAUUUAUUAAAUUUUUAAGGCCGCCGUGAUGUCGGGUGCGACAGUAUGGACCAUUUAUGAACUAGUGCUAUGGAGAUAACCAUGCGAAUAGUUCCUGGUUUAAUAACUGGAGAAUAGGUCUCAGUAUAGUCCAAUCCAUCAAUUUGGUGAUACCCUUUUGCUACUAACCGAGCUUUUAAGCGAUCUAGUGAACCAUCGGGUUUGAGUUUUGUUUUGAGUACCCAUUUAGAGCCAAUAACAUGCAUGGCUUCUGUGCGAGGGACAAGCUCCCAAGUAUGAUUUCUAUGAAGAGCUUCCAAUUCCUCUUCCAUUGCAGCUUUCCAACCAGGGUGAGCUAAAGCAGACCGAAAGUUAGAAGGCUCACGUGGGAUGGCUGUUGAGGACUUAAAGGAUGUUAAUGCAUAUUUUGGAUUAGGCUUAAGGAUCCCUCUCUGUGAUCUUGUUACCAUGGUAUGUGAGAGAGGAGGAGCACAUGGAGAAUGCACAAGCUGCGUGUCUAACUCCAAUAAAGCAGGAUUGGAUGGUGAGAGAGAUAGAUGUUGCAGUUGUGUGUCAUCUUCAUUGUCAGAUUCUACCAGUUGUAUUUCAAUUGUGUGAUCAUUAUUAACAUGUUGCUCUGUAGUUUCAAUAGUUAAAAUAGAAGGGUUGUUAGAUGUGUUGGCAGUGAUAUGAGGCAGUGAUGUAGACUCUGAUUGGGAGGGAGGAAAGUGGAGUUCUACUAUUCCAUUGUCAUUGUUAUGUUCAACCAGUUGUGUUCCAGUCACAGUGUCAGCACUAACAUGUUCUGUAAUUGUAUUACUAAUAGCAUAAUCAUCAUGUAAAGGAAGAGAAGAUGAUAGGGUAUGUGGUAAUGAGCUUAAGCAUGGUGGAGGAGACAUUACAGGUUGUAUGUCUACGGCAGUCUUGGAGAUAGUAGGUGGUAACCAUGAAUCAAAGAUGCUCAUAGCAUGUGUAGGGGACCUUGAUAUGUUUGUUAAAUUGCCUAGUAACAUAAUGUUCAAAAGCAAGAUAAGAAUCUGCAAAAUCAGACUUAUGUAGUAAAGGGAUUAUCCAAGUAUAUUUAGAAAAAUCAUCGACUAAACACGCAUAAUAUCUGAAUUUUCCUAUUGAUAAAACAGGAGCAGGUCCCCAUAAAUCACAAUGAAUUUUUUCAAAAAUACCAGAACUUGAGUGUUCAGAACGAAAAAAAGGUAAUCGACUAAGUUUUCCAAAUUGACAACUAUCACAAACAUGUUCAUGCUUUAUAGUUCCUUUAACAUCUAUCAAGCUUUUAUUGUGCAAUAAUUGUAAAGCAGAGAGGUGCGGAUGUCCUAAACGCUGAUGCCAUAUAUCUGCUGGUCCUGAUCUGAAUCGAUUAGAGAAGUAGAGCUCAGGCAUGGUGGAAAGAGUAUAGAGAUCACCCUUGCGACAUCCUGUGAUCACGGGUUGUCCUGUCUGUCGUUCCUUAAUACAGAAAUCAACGUCAGAAAAUUCACAAUUAACAGGAAAUUGGGAUGUUAGUUGACUUAUAGAGAGUAAAUUCUGUUUUAAGUCUGGGACUAACAAUACAUCAUCAAGUGGCAAGAUUUUAUUUUUUUGUUUAAUGGAUGAGUCUCCAAUACCAUGUAUUGAUAUGGAGGAACCAUCACCAAUAAGAACAGAGUCAGAACCAUAGUGAUUGCGGAUAUUUUUUAACAUACCUGGAUUACCUGUCAUGUGGUUGGAAGCUCCCGUAUCUGAGAUCCAUUCAGUUUCAGCAACGGUAUUGUCCAAAGUGAGAGCUGCAAAAGCUUGCGGUAUGUCUUCAUGUUGAUUUGGUCGUUUUGGAACCCACCAGCAUAUCUUUGCAAUAUGACCUGCUACCCCACAGUACUGGCAGGUUUCUUCUCGGUACAACUCACGUUCUGCAGGAGUCAUGCGUUGUUCUCCAAAUGGAGGGGGUCGUUUCUGUUUAGAGUCUGAGGUGGGUCUGGUAGUGUAGGUACGUACCUUAUCUUUAGGUUGUUGUGCAUGGAAACCUCUCCCAGUAGAUAUGAAGCUUUGUUUGUUGCCAUAGUUUCCUGAAGAGUAUUGUUGAGAACGUUGAUGUCUUUGCCCAUAAAAUGCUAGUUGUGGAGUGAAUGAAUUAGCUGUCUGGUUGGUGAACCAAUUUCGUCUUUGAUCUAGACUCUGUAAUUGAGAGACUAACUCAGAGUAAGAAGGUCUUGGUGGUUUCAGCAUUGUGGUAGUGAAGGUUUCAUAUUGAGGGCCAAGGCUUGUGAGGAGACAAAAGACUUUUUCUUUGUCUGGGAUUGGUUUCCCAAUAGCUGCAAGGCUGUCGCAUAAUCCUUUGAAGGUUCGAAUAUGUUCUCCAAUGGUUUUGUCAUCUUCUUUGCGGAAAUAAGUAACUUGUUGUCUGAGGGAGAAUUCUCGUUCUUGGGAGUCUUCUGCAUACUCAUUUUUUAGAGCAUUCCAGACAGCAAAUGUUGUAUCUAAGCCUACAGCAAGGCCUAGUGUUUCUUCUGAAAGUGUCCCGAUCAGCCAGCCACGAAGGAGUCGGUCUGACUUUCUCCAGACAAUGUAUUCUUCAGUUAGUUUUGAUGAAGAAUCUGUAGUGGUGACAUGAUCUGGUACAAUAUAUUUGUUAGGGGCUGUGUCUUCAAUGGUGAGAUGCUCAACCAAGUCUUGACUUUCUACAAGGGAUAAGGCUUGUUCUCUCCAUAAUGGAUAAUUUGUAGGGGUGAGUUUGAGGGUAAUAAAGUUACCAACAUUGAGUGACAGGGUAGACAUGUUGUGUGAUUUUGCUAGGAUUGUUGUAUGUUCACAAUAGCUCUGAUACCAAGAGAAAAAUUACAGAGGAUAGGUAUAAAAAAAGGUUUCUCUGUUUCUUAAGAAAACAACGUGAAUAUACAGCAAUACAUUCUGCAAGGGCUGCUGGUUAUUAUAUAGCAAUACAAGUUGCUUAAAUUGGAUACAUUAAAUAGCCUAAUUCUCAGCUGAUUUACUUCCAUAAUCAGCCAACAUCUCUUUCUGUUUCUGUCUUGUCCUCCAACGUAACAUUCCUUAUUGCUGCAGUUGAUUUGUUUCUAUAAUCAACCAAUGUCUCAACGUCUCUUUCUGUUUCUGUUUUGUUACCAUUAAUAACCAACAGGUCAGGUCGUUGCCGUGAAGAAACUUCACCCAUCAAGAGAGGGCGAGCUUAUGGAUUUGAAAACUUUUAGAAAUGAGAUUCGCAUGUUAAUAGAUAUUCGACAUCGGAAUAUUGUGAAGUUAUAUGGAUUUUGUUCAUUAAUGGAGCACUCUUUUUUAGUUUACGAGUUCAUAGAAAGGGGAAGUUUGAAGAUGAAUUUAUCUAGCGAAGAACAGGCAAUGGACUUGGACUGGAAUAGAAGGCUUAAUGUUGUUAAAGGAGUGGCCAAUGCAUUAUCUUAUUUGCACCAUGAUUGCUCGCCUCCAAUCAUUCAUCGAGACAUUUCCAGCAGCAAUGUUCUUUUAGAUUCGGAAUACGAGGCUCAUGUUUCGGAUUUUGGGACAGCUCGGCUCUUGAUGCCUGACUCGACCAACUGGACCUCAUUUGCUGGCACCUUCGGAUACACAGCUCCAGGUACAUAUUUGAUUUCAUUCUUAACAUACAUACAUAUACAUAUACAUAUACAUACAUAUAUAUAUAUAUAUAUAUAUAUAUGAAUCAAUUGCUAAAGGAUGAAAAUGGAGGGCUGCUUUUUGAUGCUCUAAAGGUGAUGUCUAAUAAAUUGUCAUAUUAGCAGUACAAUACAGCCAGUACUCUGAAAAAAUGACCAAAAUCUUUGCAGAGCUAGCUUACACAAUGAGAGUGAACGAGAAGUGCGAUGUCUACAGCUUUGGAGUGGUCACAAUGGAAGUGAUAAUGGGAAUGCAUCCGGGUGAUCUCAUCUCAUCUCUUUCUGCAUCUGCUUUUUCCUCCUCGUCGAGCUCACAAAUCAACCAGCAUGCAUUGUUGAAGGAUGUGAUAGACCAACGUAUCCCACUUCCUGAAAAUGGAGUUGCAGAAGGUGUGGUCUCCAUUAUCAAAAUAGCAUUGGCAUGCUUGCUUGCCAAUCCCCAAUCUAGGCCAACCAUGCGACAAGUAGCUACGCAGCUCAUAGCUCGAUGGCCUCCGCUGGCAAAGUCAUUCUCCGCAAUAACAUUGGAAGAUCUGAUGCCUCAAACAACUGUGACAGGCUGAGAAUUUUCCAAAAGAUUUUCUAUAAUUAUGUAGCAUGUGAUUGUUUCUACUUAUGUUAGUUUCAAUUUUCGUAGCUUUGUUUGUAAUAAAUUAGUUCGCCGCUUUGUAUUUUGUUUCUUCAACGAUUAAUAUGUUUUAGUACAGUAUUAUUAUCAAUCAAAGUGAAGAAAGGCUCUCUGCUAUAAUGAGGACACCUGGAUUUCAAGAUUUUGUUUCAUCCCUUGUAAUAAAAGAAAUCUUCAAUUCAUUAUUGAGCUGAAAUGAAUAAACUAGCAUGAGAGGCUUUUAGAAUUGAUGCACAUACUAUGCAUCUGCACUUAAACUAUGAAUCCACACUGAUAAUACUACAAAAACUUAAACUAUCAACUACACAGAGUUCUUCACAGUGAACUCUUGAAGAAUCCUUCGUGCAGCCUGGAUUCUUUAAAGAAAAGAAAAAAGAUACAAAAAUAAUUGAAUCAAGAAAUUUUAAAAGGAAGAAUAUAAUGUUUUUUAAGUUUUUGGUAAAUAAAUGAAUCAAUUAGUUGACACAAAAAAAAAGUGACAGAUUUGUAAAUUCCUCACAUCAACUACAUUAUCAUUUUCAUGGGUUCUGUUCAUUUCCUUGUGGGUAGGGUUCUUUCCUGUAAUUAAAGUAAUAUAAUUUUGCAGGGGCGAGCAGGCCCAUGAGGUCUUCUUUUUUAUACACUAAACUGCAGUUUAAGCCCAAACAAAUAUAAAAAAAAUAUGCAUUUCAAAAAAUAUGCCAGAAACGCAGAGUAUUCAAAUGGAUAUAUAGAAUUUGAUGGAAGUUAUUGUUUUUAAGAAAAAAAAAAUUUUAAAAAUAUAUUAAAAUAGUAUAUAUUUUUUAUUUUUUAAAAUUAUUUUUAUAUUAAUAUAUCAAAAUAAUUAAAAAAUAAAAUUUAACUAAAAAUAAAAAAAAACUAUAAAUUUUUUAAAAACAUAAAUACUCACCACAAAAACAAGCAAAAUCCAAGUUGUAACACAGUUUUCAAGGUUUAUCAUUUCAACCCACAAAUCAAAACGGUUAGAAUCCAAUUUUCUUAAAGCAACUUUGUUUGCUUUUGAAAAUCUUUGACACAAAUCAAAGUUAGUAUUUUAAUAUUUUUAAAACGAAAACAGAAAUGAUAUCCAAAUUCACGUUUUUCAGUAAUUUGCCAGUACCAUUAUUCCUCUUUCCUUUGAAGCAUAACAUUCAGAAAAAAAAAAAUUACUUAAACGAAUUGAAAGAAUUCAAUGAAUGGGUACUACGUUCAAAAACACGAAGAAAAGGAAUGUCCAAUUUGAUAUUCAUAAUAUAAGUUUAUUUUGAUUCAAAAAUUUGUUUUCUGUACUUUUUUAGUACUUGGAUGAAAGAGACUCAAAGAAAAUGAUGUUAGAAAGAGAAAAUUCUUGAUUAGAACCGAUUCUAGUAACCAAAAAAAAUUAAUAUUGAUGUCAAAAGAUUCUUAGAAAAAAUAAGUUCUAUUAAGGUAUUAUUUGGACUAAAGUUUAAUCACAGUUUCAUUUUGUUGAAGUAUUGAAAAUACUAAAGUUUCAUUUAAUAAAUUUCAAUCGCGGGGCAUGCAUGUAUGUAUGGCAUGAAGGCCUCGUGUUCAUGCCAAUAACAAAAUCAAAUAAAUCAAAAGGAAAGGGGGAAAAUUAAGUAUGGUGAGUCAAUUUCAUCAACCCUAUAGACUUCCUAAUAAAACCUUCCAUGCUGCAGUAACAUGCCUCUCUUCAGUCAAUGGUGCUCCCACAGCAAUACGUAAUAUGUACUUGCCUGAUAGAACCUGCAAAGAUUGGUGAAUAUAACCAAAAAUAUAAAUGGUUUUUAAUAUUUCCAACUUUUUUUUUCCUUCUACUUUUUUAUAUGAACAGGCACGAAUCAGAUUUUAUCCGAAAUAUUGUGGAAGAUGUGUUGGCUAAAUUGGGUCCUAAAAGUCUAUAUCGUUCUGAACACCUUGUGGGUAUUGAUUCUCACGUUGAUAAUAUUAUUGCCCUACUAAGAAUUGUUACAGAUGAAAGUCGCAUUGAGGGCAUACAUGGAAUGGGCGGGAUAGGUAAGACAACUCUAGCAAAAGUUGUAUUUAAUCUGCUCUUCUGUGAAUUUGAGGGAAGUAAUUUUCUUUCUAACGUCAGUGAACAUUCAAAAGCCCUCAAUGGUUUGGUUCAGCUACAAAACCAGCUGCUUUGUGAUACUUUGAAAACAAAAAAUAUUGUUAAGAUCAAUAAUGUAGACAGGGGAAUGAUUUCAAUCACAGAAAGACUCUGUUCCAAAAGAGUUCUUGUUGUUCUUGAUGAUGUGGAUAACGAGUAUCAAGUUAAAGCAUUGGUGGGAGAAAAUAGGUUUGGUCCUGGAAGUGUAAUAAUUGUUACAUCUAGAAAUGAGCAUGUUUGCUUUGUGAUACUAACGGAAGUGUAAUAAUGGUUACAUCUAGAAAUGAGCAUGUUUGCUUUGUGAUACUAACGGAAGUGUACUAAUUUUAUUUCCUUGGUAUUGCAUGUUUCUUCGUUGGCAGAAGCAAAGAAUAUGUGUCAACCAUACUACAUGCCCGCUAUGGUUUCAAUCAAGAAAUCAAUUUAACAAUUCUUGUUGAAAGGUCUCUCUUAGAAGUUAAUUUACAGAAUCAAUUAAGGAUGCAUGAUCUAGUAAGAGACAUGGGAAGAGUGAUAGUUUGUCAAAUGUAUCCCCGACAUCCUGGAAAACGCAGCAGAAUUUGGCUUCAUGAGGAAGCAUGGGAAGUGCUCAAAAUGUACAUGGUAAGAUGCAUUGCUGUAGUCUUGUGCGCAGAAUCACAAAGUCUUAUAUUUAUUUCCCGUUGAGCUUGUUUUCAAAUAAUUUUAACAAAAUAAUUUUGUAUAGAUCUACUUCCAAACCAUGAUAUAUGUCGUUCUACUGAAAUUUCUUGCUUUUGUUAGGGAACAAAAAAAGUGGAGGGUCUUGUGCUAGAUGUUCAAACUUCAAAUGCUGAACCUUUAAGAACAGAAUCAUUUGAAAACAUGAAAUAUUUGAAUUUACUCCAAAUCAAUGGAGUUCGUCUCAAAGGAUGCUAAAGACAUCUUCCCAAAGGGAUUAUAUGGCUUUGUUGGCAUGGAUGCUCUUUGAGAUCUUUUCCACCUAAAUUUCACCUGCACUCUCUAGUUGUUCUUGAUAUCCAGUACAGUAACAUCAAAGAACUGAAGGUACAGACUAUGUAGCUUCCCCCCGACAAAAUUAUUCCUCAUGCAGCUUAAAUUACUUAAACAACAUUUUUUUUUCAUUGUUAAUUCUUUCUCAUUUUCCUCACUGUUUUGACAGUCUCUCAACAAUCUGAAAAUCCUCAAUCUCAGCAAUUCUAAGUUUGCUCAAACACCAAACUUCCUAGAUGUCUUUAGACUUGAGAGACUAGUACUUGAAGAUUGCAGAAAUUUAGCUGAGGUGCACCAGUCUGCUGGACAUUUGAAGGAACUUGUUCACUUGAGUUUGAAAGGAUGUUACAGCCUAAAUAAUCUUCCAGAAAGCAUUUGCAACUUGAAAUCUCUUGAAACUCUAGACAUUAGCAUGUGCUCGAGGCUAGAGAAUUUACCAGAGCACUUGGGUGUAAUGGAAUCCUUAACUGAGCUGCUAGCUGAUGAAACUGCAAUAAGGCAACUUCCCUCAUCAGUUGGACAAUUGAAGAGACUCAGAAAGUUAUCAUUGAGUGGAUGCAAUAGCAAGCAAGACUCACCGUUUACUUCUUGGCUUUCACUAAUUUCGUCAUGGCUUUCACCAACGAGUUCAACCUCCAAAGUUUUGCUGCCAGCUUCUCUUAGUAGUUUAAGCCUAUUGAGAGGACUAGAUCUUAGUUAUCGUGGAUUAUCUGAAGGUGAGAUUUCCAUAGAUCUCGGGAGUUUUUCCUCUCUCCAAGAAUUGAAUUUGUCCGGAAACAAAUUCUUCAAUCUGCCUUCUGGCAUUGGCCUCGUUCCCAAGCUUAACUAUUUACUGGUUAAGGACUGUACAAAUCUUCUAUCAGUUCCGGAGCUCCCAUCAAGUUUAAUGGAACUGGAUGCUAUUAAUUGUUCGGCGUUGGAGAGACUGACAAUUCAUUCAAAAAGAAUCCCAUCACUGUAUGUGAGUGGGUGCAACAAUUUAAUAGAGAUUAAGGGUAUGGAAGGUAUGGGUAAGAGAUGGGUCAUUGUAUCUGAAGACCGGAGCAAUUUAUCAAAUAAUUUGAAGCAGAGUCUUGUUCAGGUUCUCUCUCUCUCUCUCUCUCUCACUCACACACACACACACACACACACACACAAGUCUCACGCAUAUGAAUGUUGAUUAGGUCUAAAGUUUUAGCUUUCCUUAAAACAGGCAUUAUGCAAGGGCGAAGAGUAUGACAUUGUCAUUGCUGACGGUGAGAUGCCAGAAUUGUUCAGCAAUCGAGGAGAAGGAUCUUCAUUAUCAUUUCAUGUACCUCCAGGUUCAGACGGUAAUAAAAUCCAAGGGCUGGUUGCUUGGGUUGUCUGCGCCAUCGAUGGAAACAUAUCUGCUUAUCUGCGGGGAGAGGCUGUUAUAAGAAAUAAGAGCAACGGUGUUCAAUUGUUUAAAAGAUCAAUAAUGUUGUUUACGAUGAGCACAAAUUCAAGCAACCAGUGUUCUUGGGUAAACCACGUAUCAUUGGCUGCACUUCCUCCGAAUGCAAUGAAAGCUGGAGAGGAAUUGGAGCUAUCUGUUGAAGUAAAACAUACCUCUUUUGAAGUACAAAAGUGUGGAGUCCAUAAUAGUAAAGAAGCCAGAAGUUGAAUACUUUGAUGACAGCUAGGGAACUGUUCGCCAUCAUGAUGACAAUAUCAUAUCAUCCUUUCCCCUGUCCUUGUUCAUUCUGUAUGUUCAGGUCUCAUCCAAUUAAUAGGUCUCGAUGACCUUAAAGGAAUUAGAGUUCAUAUUCGUUGUGAUGAGGUAAGAUGCUUGCAUUAAAUAAAAUAUUACCUGAUAACUAUAUUAAUGUAUCGAAAUCCUGUUCACAUGCUCUCUGUAUUUAGUCAGCCUGAAUUCUUUGCGUCCUUUUCCUACAGAAAAUAAACUAAUUCGACGAUCCAUCGGUUCAUUAUUUCCAUUAGUUUGACUGGGGCCACUAUCUCCUCCUGGACUCCAGGGAGCUCUACGCUUGGCAAAACCAGAGUGACUUUCAGUUUGUCUCCUUAAAUAGAGGACAUUAAAAUUUUAUACAAAUUGGAAUACCAUAAAUUAAACUGGCACAUUUGCGCACCUGGAAACCACCAUAUUGUAAGCUGUGUGCCUUUACUGUUAUCACUUUCUGAGCUGCAUAACAAAUGAAUUCCUAAUUAUGAUGAACAUGUCUGCACUGCUUUAAUUAGUCCUUCUAGUCCUGUUUUAUUGAUGUGAAUUUCCGAAUGUGGAAGUGAGGACAUAUAUAUUCAUCUAUACAAUGUACUACAACCAAUUUACUAGUUGAAUGUCUGAUUGACGCUCUUCUUUGAUAUUACUUAAUCUAUACAAUGCUUUAACUCCAGAUUUUCAUGUUCAUAUCUACCGUCCUCUGACCCCAAAAGACUGAAGGUGUGUGUCUGUGGAACCGGAAGAAAUGCGUGCAGCUGUAGCCAUUCUCUCUUGAAGAUUUUGAAAAUGACAUUUGCUACAAGAGCAGUAAUUUGAAUGCUGAAAAUGCUUUCUGCCCUUCAAAGAGACAACUACGAAUCUUUUUCAGCUGUGCUGGAAAGAACUCGACCAUUGAAGGCAAGCAAAAACUCUCUUGCUACUCUGUAAAUUAAGUCUUUUCAAAUUUGGUUUCAUCUUUAUCUUCGGUGGAGCUCCUCUGGUACCACACCUUCGUGACUUGUUUAUUCUCUUAACAGAUAACAUUAACUAAUUGGACAGACUAUCUUUGUGAUUUCAUAGACAUAACCAGCAUAUAUUGGCUAUUUUUUUUUACUUAAAACUCAAAUUUUUUAAAAAAAUUGUUAAUUUUUUUUGAAUGUUUUCACAUCGUUUGGAUGUGUUGAUCUCAAAAUAAUUUUAAAAAAAUAAAAAAAAAUAUUAUUUUGAUGUAUUUUUAAACGAAAAGUAUUUUGAAUUGUAACCGCUAUCGUAAUCCCAAAUAUGUUUGAAGGUCUUCAAUCUGUAAAUGAAACAACACUAGGCAAAUUGUAUUUGAUUUUUUAUAUUUUGAAUUAUUUUAAAAAAAUAUUCAUGUAACCAAGAUCUUGAAAACCCACAAAUGAUCUCGUAAGUCCUGUUAAGAGCAUAACCAAUUUUAAAAUUAUUUUUCUUUUUCAUUAAAAAAAAAAUUAUUUGUUUUUCUUAGCUAAUUAUAUUUCUUUUGCUUGAUUACUUUAAUGGAGCUUAUGGGAAAAUUUAUCAUUUCUCUUUCUUAAUUAAAAAAAAAAAAUCAAAUUUGAAUUUCUAAGCAUUAUCUUCUUUUACUAAUUGAAGGCUAAGUUAGAUUUAUUCAAUAUAAACACAAGCCAUGCGAGCUUGACAACAAGUUAGUGCUAAUGUUAAUUGUAAACAAAAUGUAAAGUAAACGACUUAGUUUAUGAAAUUAGUAAUAGUGAGAUUCAAGUAAUUAAACUAUCAUAUAAUACAAAUUAACCUGUUUUAAAACUUUGCAUAAAAUGUUCAAAAAUUUUUUUUCUGUUUUUUUUGGGUGUACGAAGUAGGUAACUUGUUAAUAAGCUGCUUCCAAGAAACUACGCAUCACCGAAACCAACUCCUAAAAUGAUUUUUUCUUCGAGGCUUGUCCUACUUGGUGCUUCAGUUAUGGGGCACGUCUCACUGCUACUAUCCCUCGCUGCAUGCCGUUACCACCGCAUGGCAUUCUCUGGCCUUAUUUAGAAAACAGAACAGGGGGAACGAAGGAGAUAAAAAACCAGAGGAAACAGGGGAACGGACCAGGGAAACAGGGAGGAGAGAGACAGAAAAACCAGGAGAGAGAGAGAGAGGGACAAACGAAAAACAGAGAACAUAAACAGAGAAAAACUCUGGGGGAAGACGCAAACAAAGGAAAUUCCAAGGAAUUGGGAGGGGGGCUCUUCCAGAAGAGAAAACACUAGAGGACUGAGGCAGGGGACGGAAGAAUAGCAGCAACACGGGGGACAGAAGAAGACCAUAUAAAUAUAUAUGGACUGAUUUAAAAUUAUUUUACUCAUUUAUUAAUGCGCAUUAGUAUGUUUUAGCCAGUAAUCAAUAAAUCCUUAAUAAUUUAAAAUAAAACUAGUAAUCAACCUGUUUUAGCUAAAAAAUUUAAGAGAUAAUAAUAUUUUUUAUUUUACACAACCAGUCUUGUACCAUAAAAUCUCUAUUGAUGCAAAUGACAAUAACAAAAUUAAAAGUUAAAAAUUAAAAAACAAUUAAUAAUUAUAUCAAAUAAUAAAAAGAUUUUAUUAUUAAAUAUUUUCUUUUCAAGUGUUAUGCUAAAAUACAAGUUAAAAAAACCUUUUUUAUAGUAGUACUAGGCCUAUCUUAAAAAGGAAAGAAAUCCUAAUAAAUAAUUAUAGAGUUAUUCCAUGAAUUUUCUAAACUAAAUAAAAAAGAUAAAAUUACCGAGCAUAAUUUUUUUUUUUUUUUGGUGUAAUGAAAAGAAAAAAGAACAAACUAGCCUUCCCUACAUUAGCUAGUACCAGAGGAGAUAAGAAAUCCCAGGAGGAGAGGAAUCCUUGAUAUAAAACUCAAUCCUGUACUCUGCUCCCAUCUUGGCUCCAUUUUGUUUUCCUCACUGUUGAAAGCUUCCGACAAGUUAAUAAGUUUAUAAACUGGAUUGAAUAUGAAUAAGAGUAACUCGUAAGAACAAUUAAAAGUCAUAGAUACCAUAUUGGAUAAUAAACAAAAAUUAAAAGAAGUAAGAGAAAAAAAAGAAGCAAAAAAUAAAAAAAAAACUGAAGGUGAGAGAAGCUGAAAAAGAAAAAGAGAAAGAGGGCUGGAAAAGUGUGCAACUCACAAAUUAUUUAAUUCAUCAUCAAUAAUUCCCCCAUAAAACAACUAACAAUUAGGCCAAAGACCUACAUAAAUGAAACUAAAAUCUAAAAUAAAAUAAUAUCAAGUUUUAUUACAAAACUAAACUAAAAAUAAUAAAUUAAAUCCAAAAAUAAAAAUAUAAGCUAAAGCCCAAUCUUUUAAUAGGUUAGGCUAUCCUCUAUCAUUGAUGAUCAUACACGGGUGCAUUUUAAUAGGUUAGGCUAUCCUCUAUUAUUGAUGAUCAUACACGGUGCAAAUUAUAUCUCGAGUAUGAUGUUUCCAACAACUAGGGUGAUGAUUUAACUAUAUGUUUUCUAAAAUAAAACUCUGUCAAAUAUAUCAGGAUUGGCUUGAAUGACCUGAUAUAAAGUUGAAACUUUUUUAGAAUAUGCUGCUUUUUUUUACUGUGAAAUCAAUUUUAAGUUUAUAGAGAACGUUUACCUUCUCAAUGUUUUGUAAUCCAAUCAAUGGACAAUCGAAGAAAGGAACCAGCAAUUUCAAAUUGCGUGAAUACAACUUAGUACCCGAUCAAAAAUCAUGGGUAAUGAGGAUUGAAGUCCAAGUAAUGCAAGCAGACUCUUAUAGACUUCAUCAACGAUGUAGCACAUCAUGGAAUAAUUUGAGAUGAGGAUUUGAUUGAAUAUAGUUCAGAUCACAGCAUAAUCCCUAAAAAUCCACGAAAAUAACACCUCAUAACAAGAAACAAAACUCUAAUUAAAAGUUAAUAUAUUUAUGUUGCCAAUGUCAUCAAUUUUCUUUCCCACGAAGGACAGCAUCCAAAAGCAGCAAUUUUUUUCAAAGAGGGCUUUGUGUUUCUUCGUUUGGUUUCCAAUUUUUUCUCCAAACCCUAAACUACACACACAUAACCCCUCAAGAUUCAUAGAUUUGGGCCUUGUCCCCUCUCAGAAAAAAAAAAAAAAACAUAAUCAAAGUUCAUCCUUUUGACAUGUCAACGUCAUAAUUCAUCUUCGACACGAAGAACAACAUUUAAAAGAAGCAAUUUUGGAAGAGGGUUUUGUUUCAUUUUGUUUGUUUCCGGACAUCUUCCCAAGAAACAACCAGAAAACGCAAUUGAAGAGGGAGAAUAAUAAGGAAGAUACCUCUCUUUGCCUGAGAAGGAGCUCUUCUUUUCAUUAUCUGUUGCUCCCGAGCAGCAUCUAAUUCCAUGAAUUCUCUGCAAAAUUAAUGCUAGUCAAUUGGCUAGAAAGUAGAGAGAAAUUCAACUUGAAAAUUGAAACUUCGACAGGAUGAAUAAUUUGAAGGGCGAGUCCCUUGCUUUGUUACCUUAAUAGUCAUUAAGGUUGUUGGAUUCAGAGAGCAUAUUCCCGCCAUUUUUGUAACAGACAUGGAAUGGAAUCAGUUAAUCAGUCCAUGCAAGUGUCAUUACUCGAGGACUGGUCGCCACUAAUGAUCUGCCUCGUCAAAGAUGUUUGCUUAACUUUACUUUGAGAUUGUUAUGAUUUAAAAUAUAUUAAAAAAAUGUUUUUUAAUUAAUAUAUUAAAAUAAUUUAAAAAUACUAAAAAAUAUUAAUUUUAAAUAAAAAAUUUAAAAUUUUAAAAAAUACAAGUUGAACUACAUUUUCACAUUGCUAUAAUUAUUUUUUAUUUGAAAAUAUAUAAAAUAAAAAUAAUAUAUUUUUUAAAAAUUAUUUUUAAUAUUAAUUUGUUUCAUUUUGUUUGUUUCCGGACAUCUUCCCAAGAAACACGCAGAAAACGCAAUCGAAGAAGGAGAAUAAUAAGGAAGAUACCUCUCUUUGCCUGAGAAGCAGAAAACCCUUAAAAGCUCCGUGACCCCACUUACAGCCAAUUUCAAAGAGGAUGUUUGAUAAUUUUUUAAAAGUAUUUUUGAAAAAAUUUAAAAUAUUUUUUUUUUUUAAUUUUAAAUUAAUAUAUUUUUAAUGUUUUUAAAUUAUUUUUAUGUGCUGAUUUCAAAAAUAAUUAAAAAAAUAAAUUAUUAGCAUUUUUCUAAGUAAAAAAUACUUUGAAAAUCAACAGCAACUACACUCUCAAAAUUGGUGGGGGUUUUAGUUCUAGUUUGGCUUUUAUUUUCAUUAUCUGUUGCUCCUGAGAGGAAUCUAAUUCCAUGAAUUCUCUGCCAAAUUAAUGCAAGUAAAUUGCCUAGAUAGAAGAGAGAAAUUCAACUUGAAAAUGGAAACUUCGACAAAAUGAAUAACUUGAAGGGUGGGUCCCUUUCUUUGUUACCUUAAAAGUCAUCAAGGUCGUUGGAUUCAGAGAGCAUAUUCCCGCCAUUUUGUAACAGACAUGGAAUGGAAUCAGUUAGUCAGUCAAUGUAGGUGUCAUUUCUCUAGUACUGGUAGCCACUAAUGAUAUGCUUCGUCAAGUAGUUUUGCUUAGCUUAGCUUUCGGUAGUUGUUAUAAUUUUUUUUGUUUGAAAAUAUAUAAAAAUAAUAUAUAUUUUUAAAAAUUAUUUUUAAUAUUAAUAUAUUAAAAAUAUAAAAAAUUAUUUACAAAAAAAUCUAAAAAUUAUAAAAAACCAUAAAAAACAAAUAUCUUUUUAUUCUAAUCUAAUCUGUUUCUCCAAAUUUUUAUAUGGUUAUGUUUGAAUAAUUUUAAAUUUGAAUGUUAAAAUAUAUUUUUUAAAAUAUUGCUUUGAAAUUUGUUUUUUCAAGAAUCUUAUUUAAGAGCAAAUAUCCUCUCAUCUAUCUAUUUAUUUCUUUAAUAUAAUAGAUGAAUUUAUAUAAGAUUAUUAAAAGAAAAUGAAAAUUACUAAAAUAAAAAAUUUCAGAGAAAUAACUGAAUCAAGAUAUUUUAAAGGAAGAAUAUAUAUUUUUUAAGUUUUUGGUAAAUAAAUGAAUCAAUUAAUCGACACAAAAAAAGAAAAAAAAAAAAGAAAAGUGACAGUGGAGUGGAUAAUGGGCCAUUUAUAUAGGCCGCGCUAUAUCAUAAACAAAUGGGCUCAGGCAUGAACUGGGCCUGCACCUUGUGACUGAUUUUUCUACACGGUCGUUUGCUCGCACCAUGUGAAAGACUUUAUUACGUGUAGAAAAAGACACACAGAACAUAGAUUUAUUGACUUCGUGUUUUUUCUUCAUCCUUCUUCAAUGUUGUGAUUUUUCUAAUUUUUUCUGAUUUUUUUUUAAUUUGUCAUUCGGUUUAUUUUGAGCCGAUAUUCAUAAUAUAUUUCAAUUUGAUUUAUAUAAUAUCCUAUCAUAUGAACAUCUUCAACAUUUGCUAUCUUAUACUAACUACUGAAUUUCCAAGUACUUCAUUAAUUAGCAAGUUCAAACCCAAUGAGCACGAUAAACAUCUUAUUGGUUGGUGAAGCUUUAAUAGGGAGUCAAAUUUGGACAACUCAAAUUUGAAACGAUGACCCACAAUAUUCUUUGGAAAGGUACGUAGAACAAAGAUUAUUUAGAAAUUUCAGAAUGAAAGAUUCCUCUACCUUGCAAUUCCAAUUAAUUCAGAGAGCCCGCGUUUAAUUAAGCAUUAUUUCGUCACCGAUUCAAUUAAAGGAGAGAAAACUGAUGCAGGAGAUUUUAAAAAACAAAAUAUUUUUUUCUUAAUUAUUUUUAUUUUUUUAUUUAGUUUAGAAAUGAGCUACGGAUUUUGAACAAAUGAGCCAACAAUUAAGCAUCUUUAGAAAUUACAGGACUUGGAAAUGAGUCUUCCUAAGAUUUAGAAAUUACAGGUCACUGUUGUUGACGUAUAUAUGUCAAAUUCUGUAAAAUAAGAACAAAGAUGAAUACGAAAUUUCACAAUUAAAAAUUCCAAUAAACAUUCCAUUUAUUUUUUUUUUCUAUAAAUACCUAUCAUUGGAGCCUAGAAUCUUCAUCUGCCGUAGGAAACCAUAUCCCUUAGACAUGAUGUCCUUACUACAGAAACCAUUCUCAAAGUUUCUCCAAGUCCUUUUUUUUCUCCUUCUAAUGUGCAUUCCUUCUUUCUUUGCCUUUCCUCCUAAUUCCUCUGCAACUUCAUUUGGUGCUGCCAGAUAUGUAGCUGCUGAUGGUAAUAGAGAAGCGGAGGCUCUCCUAAAAUGGAAAGCAAGUCUUGAUGACAACCACAGCCAAUCUGUCCUGUCUUCUUGGGUUGGCAGCAGCCCUUGCAAGUGGCUUGGAUCACUUGUGCAAUUCUGGAAGUGUCGCGGAUUUCAGCCUUCCACAUUUUGGUCUGAGAGGUACGCUUCAUAGUUUCAACUUCUCAUCCUUCCCCAAUCUUCUCGCUCUCAAUCUCUCGAGCAAUUCACUCUACGGAACUAUUCCAUCCCACAUUAGUAACCUGACCAAAAUCACCAAUUUAGACUUAGUGAUAAUCAUUUCACAGGAAUUAUUCCACAUGAGAUAGGAUUGUUAACAAGUCUUAACUUUCUCUACCUUCAUGAAAAUAAUAUCGUCGGUUUGAUCCCAGUCUCUAUUGGAACCCUGAAACACCUAUCCAUUCUCUGUCUAAGGGGUAACAACCUCUUUGGCUUGAUACCUCCAGAGAUUGGAUCUUACAGUCUCUCAGUUCCUUGACUUGUCAAGCAAUGAUUUAACUGGUAGGAUCCCUUCUUCAAUUGGAAAUCUGAGAAACUUAUCAAUUCUUUCUCUUAGGGAUAACAAACUCUCUGGUUCCAUCCCUUCUUCUAUUGAAGAUCUAAGAAACUUAUCUAUUCUCAAACUCUCGAGAAACAAACUUUCUAGUUCCAUUCCUUUUUCUUUUGGGAAUAUGAGUAAGCUCACUGACUUGUAUCUUAGUAAGAAUAAUCUCACCGGUUUGAUCCCAGUUUCUAUUGGAACUCUGAAACACCUAUCUGUUCUUUAUCUAGGAUGUAAUAAUUUAUCUGGAUCUAUUCCUCGGGAAAUAGGACAACUUGAAUCCCUUGUUAUAUUGAGUUUAUUCAAUAAUAAUCUCAAUGGUUCUCUACCCCCCGAGAUGAAUAAUCUCACACAUUUGAUGGCUUUGCACUUGUCUUCAAACAAUUUCACUGGCCAUUUACCACGAGACUUGUGCGUUGGUGGGUUGCUUGUAAAUUUUACAGCCCACUCCAAUCAUUUUUCUGGUCCAAUCCCUAAAAGCUUGCGAAAUUGCACUAGUCUAUUUAGAUUAAGGCUUGACCGAAACCAAUUGACAGGGAAUAUUUCUGAAGAUUUUGGCCUCUACCCACACUUAAACUAUGUGGACCUAAGUCACAAUGAUUUGUCUGGAGAGCUUACGUGGAAAUGGGGAAGUUUUCACAACUUGACGAGCCUAAAAUUGUCAAACAAUAAUAUCACCGGUGAGAUACCAUCAGAGCUUGGAAAGGCCACUGGACUACAACUGAUUGAUCUCUCAUCAAAUCUCCUAAAGGGGACAAUUCCAAAAGAAUUGGGGCAGUUGAAAGCGUUGUUCAACCUUACUCUUCAUAACAACCAUCUUUUUGGUGUCAUUCCCUUUGAAAUCCAAAUGCUAUCUCAACUUCAAUUCCUUAAUUUAGCUUCGAAUAAUCUUGGUGGAUCAAUCCCAAAACAACUGGGAGAGUGCUCAAAUUUAGUACAGUUGAACUUGAGUCAUAAUAAGUUCAUAGGGAGCAUCCCAUCUGAGAUAGGCUUCCUGCAUUUUCUUGGAAAUCUAGAUCUCAGUGGGAAUGUUCUGGCAGGAGAGAUACCAUCACAAAUUGGGCAAUUGAAACAGUUAGAAACGAUGAACCUGUCUCACAACAAACUUUCUGGUUUGAUUCCAACUGCUUUUGUAGAUUUGGUGAGCUUGACAACUGUAGACAUCUCCUACAAUG
rnacentral:lncRNA from 1 species